rnacentral:lncRNA from 1 species
ACUGAACCAUACCCUGUCAGUUCACAAUUCACAUACCUGUUCAGGUAUUUAAUUUAAGAAGAAUGGUUCGGUUCGGUUCGGGAGUUCUAUUCAACCCUAAGUUGUUAUGUAUGGCCUUGCCUAAGAGCAUUUCAGUUGUACUAGUUCUAUUUGAUCAAUCGAAACCAUGAUUACUCCUUUGACUCUGCAUUCUUUAAUUGUUGAAAUUUUGUGCUAUUUUUGAAAUAUUAUGUUUAUACAUGGAAUUAAUGCUCAAGUUGAUUAGCACAUGUAACUUGGACAAGUCAUACUUGUAGAAUUGACUGAUGACACGUUCUGCCAGCAUGACACAGUAAUUAUUCUUCACUCAAGUUUGGAAGAAGUGGUUAAUUUGUGAGUGGUAUUAGGCCUUCCAUCAUCCGUGUCAGUAAAGGGUAAAAAAACGAGAGAAGCAGUUUGCUUAGUCUGACAGGGAAAUAAGUGUUUGAGUUGAAAAAUCACUGGUGAAUCUAAUAUCAAUUUCAGUUGUAAGUUGUGCUUGUGCCACCUACUCUAGAAAUAGGUUAAAAUGCUAAAUAUGGUUAUCAUCUGAAUAUUCUAGUAACAAUUUGAUUUGUGCUGCUACAGUUCUAUUUUUUCCCCCUCAAAUCACAUUCCACUUUUCUGAUUCCAAUUGAAUCUGCAGCUCUGGAGAAGCUAUUAGAAAAUUAUGCUGGAAAAUAUGCCACGGGGAAUGAAGUUUUCCUGGUUUGUUUCUUUCCUCGUACAUAAUGUGCUUAUUACCGGUGCAUGUUUUCAUGCUUGAAUUACAAAUUGCAACUUAUCAGGUUAAUGGUCUGGCCAGGUCCAAAUUUGUACCAAUUACUGAUGAUGAAUCCAAGUUCGUAAUUGUCACUUUAUUUCAUCCUCAAACGUCCUACAAUACCAGGCCAUGAGCAAAUGUAAAUUAGUCUAAUUUGACAAGUUAAAUAUAAUCUAAUUAUGAUAUAAUUGCAGUAUCACCUUGCAUACAUUGGAUUUAUACGUAUAGAUUAAGAGUAUUUUGGGGGUUUUUUAUUCAUGGGCUAUAAACUUGCAGGCUGAUUUGUUUCUGGCACCCCAGAUUGAUGGUGCAGUCAGAAGAUUCAAUGUUGACAUGGUAGGCCCUUCAUUGAAAUCCUAUCAUAUAUAUAAGGAACUUUAUACUUCUUGAAGUAAUCAUGCAAUUAAAACACUUUAAAAAUUCCAUUUUCUUAGAGAAAUUUUGAUCAGUUGUAUGCCAUUUAUCUGCUUUUCUUUCAAGUUCAUCAAAUUGAAUGGUCCCCAGGUUCGUGCAGCACUGUUUCAUGUUCAUAGAGUUAUCAUAAAACAAAAGCUAUAAUUCAGUCAGCUUCCUUUUGGGGGGAGUGAAUUUUUCCUAAUUAGGCUUUCAGUCUUUUCAUCUGCAUCAUAUAUUUUGUGGAUUUUUGACAACUACAAUUUCAGUAUACGUGUUUCUUUUCUGAAGGACUGCACAGUAGACCUGUUUAACCUGGCCUCAUUCAUUUAAUUCCUAAAUGUAGGUGCAUUUACGAACACAUCUGUAUUUGUAUAGGAUAAUUUACCAUUGAUAAGUUGAACCUCAAUAUGUGGGCAGAGUGAAUAUCCUAUCCUAUCAAGGAUUAACGAGGCGUACAAAGAACUCCCUGCUUUUCAAGAUGCUAUGCCAGGAAAGCAGCCUGAUACGCCACCAGAGGCUAGAGCCUGAGGUAAAACAUUAGCGUAAAUACCUUUACCACGUUCUUUACCUUCAGCAACUAUCAUGUUUUGAUUAACUAACUAAUUAUAAGAUAUUCAAUUCUAGCGAAACAGAUCCCAUCCUUUUACUCAUUUCAUGUUGUCUUCUUGAUUAUAAUAGCUUAUCGUUUAGCAUUACUUUUCUUCUUCUUAAAAUCUCGAAAGACUUGCUCUUUUGAUUCUUGUUAUGUUGUUUUGUUCGAAACUAGCACUUAGUUGUGUCAGAAUUCUAGGAUGGAGCACAAUUUCAUUAAGCUGGCAGAGCAGAAAGGGUGACCAGAAUAUUAAGGAAAGAAAUAAGCUAUAAUACAUUGUUCAUUAGUAAUUCACAUGCACUUAUAGUGCUACUGGAGUAUUAUUUAAGUGUUGAAAGAUGCUUUAUGUGAAAUAUAUGUUACUGUUUAGUUUCAAGAAUAAGAUGCAUUGUCCUAUAUACAUCAUGUGGUUUCAGAAUGAAAAGUUGUAUGCUAUUUCACUUUUAUUAUUUUUUUCCUUCACAUAAGUGCGAUGACGUCUAGUCCUUUAUAAGACGGUCAAUGGCGUAUAUCGUGGAGGUUCAAGCAAAUAAUGAAAUACAUUUUGCUAGCAAGUUUUCAACGAAUGGAAGAUUUAACCAUAUUGUCGAUGUCUGAAAGUGGCAAUAUAUGGUUAGAACUUUAACCAUUAAACAACUCAAAACAAUGAAAGUAUGGGAAGAACUCUCGAUCUUUUGGCCUAGUUUGUUGAACAUUUUCUGGGGAUGUGACAUAUCAUUGACAAUAAUAAAAGACAGGAUGACCCCGAAUUCACUAGAUUUUUUAUAUAUGCUUCAAGACAUGAAGGUUAAAAUCAAUGAUUAUGAGUUUGGAAUUCACAUCUGCACCACAUAGAUGCGAACAUGAACAAAUCAAAUCACAUUGAUGAAUGCUACUCUCUUGAGUGAUGACCACUGAUUGUUGCUACUUAAUUUCAGAAAAUUUGUGAAAUAUCGGCAAAAUAGUAGUUGCAAGGAGAAAAUGUUAGACAGAUUAUCGAUGGAGAUUCUCUGAUUUUUCAUUUUCAAGAGAUAUAAACAUCAUUUACAGAUAUAAGGGAGGAAAUUGGACAGCUUUAUCUGAGAAUCAGCCUUUGCAGAUACAAGUGAGGAAAUUGAUUGAUCAUAAAUAUACCCUCAACAACAUUUUCAGAUAUGAAACAUAAAAACCUCAAAAAAGAUAACUUCAAUAAGAGGAAAAGAACAAUUAUCACACUAAAUCUUGUUUACAGGAUGCAAAUGGUAGGUAUGCACUGAUACAAAAGAGCAUAAAUCAUACUUCACUUUGUUUUUAUUAUUAACUAUUUUUCAAUGAUACCUUAAUCCUCUUAUUUUUCCAUUUCUUUUUGUCUUCAUAUUAGCAGCAGUAAUAAGUUUAUAACCAGAAGGGGGCCUCUCACUUAGCUUUCCAAACCAUUUCUCAUAGAACUGCCACACUUCUGACCUGUUCAAAAGAAUGUCCAAACUGUAGAAGAAAAGGCUUGAAACAGAUAAAUCUAUAAACAACUUACCAAUAAGCUAGAAACUGAAAUGGUGCAUAUUUCCCAUAAAUCACUUUCAACAUCUCUUUGAACUGUCCGAAUUAUUGAGCUUUUGGCAUGAACCUGAUUAUAGACAGAGGACUUAAAGCAUAACUUUAGGAAGAUGGGAAUGAAUGAACUAUAUGGUAAAAGGUUUGAUUUCAUAGAAAAGAAAUAGAUCUGUUUUAGAUGCCUAAUAGUUUCUGAAUCAGUUAGAAUGACGUGAUAAAAUCCCAUGCACAUCAGAACAUUAGCACAAGUAAACGAUCCAAAUCCAUCUAUAACUUUUAGCUUCUCUCUGCCAACUUAUCAUACUCAGACAAGCUUAGAGUACCAACGACGUCUUCAAGUUCUCUUAGUCGAAUCCUACCCUCAACUAUUUCUCAAGCAAGCUUCAAAAUACGACCUGCUCUAUAGCCUAGAUGGCACCGUUUUGCUAAAAGCUCCUCGUUGAGGGUAGCCAGUUCUCUUGGGCUCAGGAAAUUUCCAAAUUUACUGCAGGAGGAAAAUCCUUUCCCUUCUAAAGGCUGAAAAUCAAGAGAACAACAGCAAUCAGCUUUAUAGCAAUAGGAUGUUUGAUACUAAUCACAAUGCUUAACAAAUCCUUAUAAAAUCCUCUUUUUGGCUAGGCUUAAAAAUAAGUAAAACUAGCUCUAUGCUUAUCAAUUUUUUUUUUUUUUUUUAAACCAAACAUAAUCUUAGAAGUUACUUUUUACUAACAAAAAAAAAUUUGCUUCUCAGAAGAGUAGUCUUUGAGCUUAACCAAACAUGCACUAAGAUUCCAUGUUACCUGGAAACAGUCUGGCAUUUGAACGCAACUUUCUUCCAAGUUAGCAUUUUCUUCUGUUGCUUUAACUUCUGCUUAACUGUUCGCUAAAUUGAUUGAACAUUUGCGAACUCCAGGGUUUUUCUUUUACUGUUUCCCUGCAGGUGUUUUUGGAACGAACUGAUUGGUUUCAACUGUUUGACACCCGAAAAUAGUUUCAUUAGCAACGUUCGCAAGAGAAUCAUUAGACAAGGGAAGCUGUAGUUCCAACUGAAGUCCACAAAGUGCUUUAGCCAUACUCAGUGUCCUUGACCACCUGCAAAAGAGAAGCUCAACUAAUACAAAAGUAGAGUAAAUACUUUCUAUUAACUUCUUACUUAAGACUUCCACAUUUAAGACCAAUUUUCAGAGGGACGAUCAUUGCAGAUCAUUGCUAAAUGGCAACCAUGUUGACUACAACAAAUGCAAACUACACAAACCAGGCAUAUUUCGUACACUAUACCAGAUUGUACUAGGCUGUACAUUUGCCAAGAUAUAAUUUUUAUCUUCCCGCAGAGGAGAAAAUGAUAAUUAUACUUGUAUCGGAAUGACAAGAAGCCAAUAGAACUCGCUCUUGUUUCGAAUUCAGAGAUCUCGAGAAAAAUCUAAUUACUAAUUAGACUCCCUCAUUUACGGGUUGUACUAGGCUGUACAUUUGCCAAGAUAUAAUUUUUAUCUUCCCGCAGAGGAGAAAAUGAUAAUUAUACUUGUAUCGGAAUGACAAGAAGCCAAUAGAACUCGCUCUUGUUUCGAAUUCAGAGAUCUCGAGAAAAAUCUAAUUACUAAUUAGACUCCCUCAUUUACGGGUUGUACUAGGCUGUACAUUUGCCAAGAUAUAAUUUUUAUCUUCCCGCAGAGGAGAAAAUGAUAAUUAUACUUGUAUCGGAAUGACAAGAAGCCAAUAGGAGAAUCUUGUAAUCUAAAAGUGGAAGAUUGGUCUCAUUCAUCAUUUCUAGAUGAAAAGUUCGACAUAAUUAUACGAAGCAUAUGUUACCGCCAACUUAUUUACAUUGAGAUUUUAGUAGCCUGAAGUUCAUAGAUCAUAGUCGAAACAAAGAUAUACAAGUACCCAAGAUCAUAUGGCCUGGUGACAUUUUUUAACCCUGCAUGCUUAAUUCAAUAUUUUCUGCACUAAAAGUUAUAGAACUUGAUUUCCCUUAUUAACUAAUUUCCUUCUUUUCAUUUGGGAACUAUAACCAGCAUAGAAUAGUUGGGCAAAGGCACAAUUAGCAAAGGCCGACCAUAUUCUUGAACAAAAAGUAAAACUCACUCACUGGCAAUUGCAAAGGAGAAUGCAUUUAAUCAUGUCCUCAAACAACGUUGGCGACAUGAAAACCCUUCUGAACCCCCUGUUUUUUGCUUCCUCGUGGACUUCUUUAAAAUUCCUUAUCCUCUGAUUCCCUUCGUCCGAUAAUCUCAACAUUCUCCUCACUUGAUCCUACAAUUACUAACCCAAUUAAAUCUAUAAUAUAUUAAAUAUCACAUCAAUUGAGAAAAUUUUUUGAACAAUUCAAUUCUUACUAGAAUACAAUUAUUUCAAUAACGCCUUACUUUUCGUUUUCUGAUAUGUAUUUAAUUAUUUCAAUAAUACCCUACUUUUCGUUUUCAAUAUGUAUUUAAUUUAUUAAUCAUUUGAACCAUUUGAAAAAUAUUAUCAUUAAUUAUUUUGUCAAUUAUUUAGUUAUGAUGAAUGUACAUUUGACACAUUCAUUAUCUUACUUUUUAUUUUUCAAUAUGUAUUUAAUUAUUUAACCAUAUUUGACAGAUUCGUUACCUUUUCAUUUUUCAAUAUGUAUUUGAUUUAUUUAAUUAUUUGAACAAUAUUAUUAUGAAUUAUUUAGUUAUGAUCAAUGUACAUUUGAUAGAUUUAUUGCACUUGACUGGAUAGUAAACUAAAUUCAUUAAAAUAUUUUUGAAACAAAAGAUCAAUAUUUUUAUAGUUUUCUUCUAUUUGAUUUAUUCAGCCCCUGUUUUUUAGCCCCAUUAUUCAAAAAAUCAUUUUUAAACACACAUUCUCCUAAUAAAAUAAUCUAUACGUAAAUCCAAAAUAUUUCCCCUCACUUUUUAACUACACAUUCUCCAAAAAAAUCACAUUACAAAAUACAUUCCCUCAGAAAACAGGGCUCAAUGAAUGUUAAGAUACAGAGAAUGUAAAUGAGGGAUAUAAUAAGUAUCUAUAAUAAAUAAUUUCAAUUGAUAUAUUCAAUGCAUAUUAAGUGAACAUAAAGAAAGAAUGAUAUUCAUUGGAUUAUCAGUUUAGAUCAAAACGAUAAAUGGAGGGACUAUUCUAAUUAACUUCUUCCACUAUUUAAAUUGUUUUUACAAACUGGUUGUUAUUUCAUUUAAAUCAAAAUUUCAUUCCAAUGAACAAUUUGUAUUACUUAUUGGUUGGUGCAGUACAUUAUUGACCAAAAUUGUACCCGGACAAAAAAUUCUGCAUGCUCUUCAAGAACUUAAGAAGUGGAAAAAGAAGCCAAACCCAAAAGUAUCAACGUCAAGCACAACACCAUGCAUUAAGAAUCAAACCUUUCAAGAACAUUAAGUACAGGGAAAAAAAAUUUGCCUACCAACAGGGAGUGUUGGUGUUGAGGGGAGAGAGAGCUGGUGUCAAACACGUAGAGUCGAAGCGCGUGAGGAGAGUGAAUAGGGUGAGAGAUUUGCACCAUGAGUGAAGCUUCAUGGUCCUCGUGAUGGGGAUUGAGAUUGAGGCGGAGGAGCCGCUGGAGAGUCUUGGACUGUGGAUCCCAAUGGUUAGGGGCCAUCAAGAAUAGCCCAUGGCUGCAUACAGCUUUCUCGAAAUUAUAUGUGGCUGCGGCAACUCCACCACCGCGACGUCGGUAGCAGCGGCGGCCGCCAUGUCUUCCGUGUUCAUUUUGUGGGCCUGUGUUUCUAUUGGUUGAUCCGUUUCACCGUAAUCAACCGGCCAUCUUCCAUUGUUUCCUCGUAAUAAAUGGCUAAAACAAGCGCAGAUAGAAAAGUAAGUUUUAUGAUAUUGACAAAAAUAGCACUACGUCUGUCUUCGUAACAUAUUGUUCGAGAUUAUUUCUUUUGUAGCUUUAGAGGGUGAGAGAUAAAUGUGAACAAGCACAUUUGUUUUAGCUGGUCUAGAUUCUCACGUCAUCGACAUUGCCACUUCCUUCUUGCAAGAGCUCCAUCGUUGCCACUCGAUCUCCACUUCCAAAUACCAAGCUUCCUAUAGCAGCUUUACCGAGCAGCGGCGCAAGUCAUAGGAAAAGAGAUUGGGCACGGCAGCGGAACGACAUCUGUGCUUCUUAUCUUCGUGAACGACUUUUCGAUUUGGAUUAGUCUGUCGCCAACAUUGCCACUUCCUUCUCGUCGGAGCUCCAUCACUGAUACUUGGUCUCCACUUUCAAAUGCCAUGCUUCCUAUAACAGCUUCAUUGAGCAGUGGCGCAAGUCAUGGUAGAAAGAUUGGCACGACGACAACAGCGUUUCCGAUUGGUGGAAGAGAAAGAGGGAUAAAGUGAGAAGAAUUAGGGUGUGUUCUCUUCGUGUUUUAGUUUUGUAGUUUUGAAUUUUGAAUUCAUUUUGAGUUUUGUGUUUUGAGUGUGUAUUUUGAAAUGAUUGAAAAUACGUUCUCUUUCAAAUUUUGAAAAAUGUUUCUGAAAACAAAAAAAUGGAAAACAUGUUCACUAUGAAAUUCUUUGAAAUUUUGGAAAAUCACCAAAUCCACCACCAUCAACCACCGCCGGCAGAGAUAACCACCGCCAUUACCAUCGACCAAAACCAACACCACUGCCGCCACCAACCAUCAACCACUGCCGCCACCUUGAAUCACUCACCACUGCCAAAAUCAACCAAAAUCAACAAUACCCACCACCACCGUCAACCACCCACAGCAAAGACAACCACCGCCAUUACCAUUGACCAAAAUCAAUACCACUGCCGCCACCCUGAACCACUCACCACUGCCAAAAUCAACCAAAAUCAACACCACCCACCACCAACAUCAACCAAUGUCACCACAAACAAAUAAUUACAUUCACGUCGCCGCCACCAUCAACACCUUCUCAGAUCCAAAAAACAAAAAAACCCCCAAAAGAGAGAGAAGGCAAAUUCUGGACAAAUUUGCAGGCGACCCAUCGCCAUCAGAUCCCCAUCACGAUGAACUGCUACCACUCUCUCUUCGACCUCCGGUAGAGAUGGGCCCAAACCACAGCAGCGUCGCCUCCCCUGGGUCGCAAUGAAUGGGUCGCCACACUGCUUUCACAGUAGCGUCACGUCCCCAAGCUAGCGUCGGCACCGGCGUAUCUCUUUCGUCGUCGGUUGAAGUGUGCGACCAUCUAUAGUCGGCGUCGAUUAUUGUGUCCAGUAGAGAGAAAAGGUAGAGAAUGGUUGGAAGAAAGUGACGAGAUUUGAUUGUGUUUCAAAAUGUGUUUUUCGUGUUUUGUAUUUUUUUCGAGUUUUGUACAGAAAAUAGCCAAAACGACAUUUUGGUUGUUUUGUGUUUUCAGUACAAUUUUUUUUUUUUUUUUCAAAAACGCGUUUUCACUGUUUUGAAAAAUCGAAAAUAAAAAACGUUCCGAAAACAACAAAGAGAACGCACCCUUAGGGUUUGAGAGUUUAAUUGGGUUAGGGAUGUGGUUAUUGUCACCUGAUUUUUUAUUAUAUUUUAUAUGUGAUUUUUGGAGUGUGACUUUUAAAUACCUGCUCUAGUUUAAUUUUUACUUUCUUUUCACCAUCUUCCAACUAUACCACGUCAAGUCAAGUGAUGCUUGUUAAAAGUUUUUGUCAAAAAGUCUAUACUUUUAGCAUGAUUGUUUAGUAAAUUCAUUUUUCAUAUGCAAAUUCACGUCAUUUAAAGAAAGAAGAGAUAAAAAGUAAAAGUUAACAAGACUCGAGGACAAUAGUUGGAAUGCAUGAACAUCGACAAAAUUGGAAAUUAAACUUUCAUGUUGGGGUGACAUUGUUUAACACUUUGUAGUAUUCACGAAAUAUUUUCUUUCGAUUUUAAACUAUAGCAAGUGUACGGUUCGUUAACAAGUAAUAAAGUGGAUUCAAUGAGUCCGAAUAUUGUCCCACAGAAAUUGAUUAGUUCAAAUUUUAUCUAACGUAGCCUUAAUCGAAACUGGAUUGCCAAAGUGGAUGUGAACCUAAGUAAAACCCUAAUUUUAAAAAGAAUCCCUAAUUGCGCAAAUUUAAUGAGUGAAUUGAAAUUAAGACUCAAAACAAUAUUUUAACACUCUAGAAUACGCACGUUGUUUUAAUCAAUAGAAAUUAAACACACUAGGAUCACGAUUUCUCAUACAAUUAUCACUUUAAACCCUAAUUUCACAAUAUGACAACACACCUCAAUUGUGAUGAAUCAAUGUUCCUAAGUCCAUCCAAUACUCUCUUUCGAGAUGUAUCGAACCUAUUUCUACAUACCACCGACCUAUAUUUCUAUGAUAAGAGCAUAUGUAAAAAUGCAUGCGAUGUCAUGAACUAUUAAAGAUUCACGUAGGGCAUAGCGGUAUACUUCUAUUCUCUAUCGGACCCUACGAUGAUCUAUAUUAUGUCAAAUCUAUUCCAAUUCUCUCAAAUGUAAAAAUAAAUUACCUAAAUUCACACAAUUACGAGCCCUUAAUUGCAAAAACAUUAAUUACAUAUAAAUAAUUUAAAACAAUAAAAAUGUGUCUUAAUGUCAAAUUGCAAAACUAGGAUAUUAAAAUUCAAAUUACAUGGUUCAUCGAUCUCCUAACACAUGAAAAUCUAGCUUAGCAUGAUUAAAAUAACAAAAUACAUCAGGUUUUGAGUAAUAAGCAUCACCGGAUUAUAAAAGCUUGAAGAAAUCUUGAAAUUCUACAUGCUAAUCUUCGUUCUUGCGCUCCAAAUCCUCUUCAAAAAGUGUUUUUCUGCCUCCCAAUGCGUUCCCCUCAUUUCUGGACCUUUUUUGAUAUUUAUAUCGCGUGAAUAUUAGGUUAGCAAAGGAGUUUUAAUCGUGUCUAAGGAAAGAACAUUUUCGCAUCGGAAAGACUACCAUGCGAUCGCAUGGUUUUAAUCCGUGCGGCCGCACAAGAGUUCUACCAUACGGCCGCAUGGUAGACUCCAACUUCUAUUGUCUUCAAUUUAGUCCCUUUACUUGAAUCUUUCACUUCUAGGCCUUUUUUCUUCACUCUUUCCAUUCCAUCAUCCCAAGACAUCAUCAAUUGGCAUUUGGUUCAAUCAAUUCCUUGAUUUGUUCAUUGGGUCAACUUUUGGGUAAUUGCACCUUAGUCCUAGAACUUUCACUUUGUGUCAUUUUAGUCCUUUUUUGCGUCUUUUCUCAUGACUUUCACCAUGUUCAUCGGUAUUCCCUACAAUUUACAAAUGUAAUAAGAUUAAGUCACAAUUCAAUCAUUAUGCUCGUUAUUAAGUCAUAUUUGUGACCUAAAUAAGUGUGCAAAAAUACACUUAUCAAACCCCCCCAAAACUUGAACUAUUGUUUGUCCUCAAACAAGAUAGUGACUUACUUUUGAACAAACAUGGCUUAAUGUCAUGCUGUGGCUCAGGAUUGGACUAAGUAUUUGACUUUAUGAAAAUUUAUCAGUGCAAAAAUGACAUCAACCUUUACCUGUUAAAUGCAAAUCGACGUGCGUGUGUGAAUUCAUGCCAAUAUAUCAGAUUCAUGAUGAAUUUGAGUCCCGAAUCCAAGUGGUCAAAUGUAUCUUUACUCGCUCGAGAGAUACACAACCCCCCAAACUUAUUUUUAUCACUCAAUUAUCCCGGGGUUGUGUUUUAAAAUUAGGAGUUUAUGUAGUUGUAGUCCCCACCCUCUUGUAGUUUAGAUUAAUCUCACUAUCACAAGUUUACAUUUCAACAAGCGAAGGCUCUCCCAAGUUUAAUUGCUUCGACACUUGAGAUUAAAACUAAGUUACUUGCCCUGCCUCAAAGAUUUAGUUUCAUCAACCAAAUGUCCAAGGGCUUCUCUUCAUGUUAUUGUCUCUCUUUUGUUUUUCUCACUUUUCUCUAAUUUUUCUGAUUUUAUUAUUAUCAUCAUCAUCAUCAUCAUCAUCAUCAUCAUCAUCAUCAUCAUCAUCAUUUUCUCAUUUCUUUCUAUAUAACAUAUGUAACGAGCUUUAGGCCGGUGACUCCCAAACCAGUUGGCUUUAGGGCACCAGGUUUUAAACCCUUGCAGACUUAUUCACUCGAGUUAUAAAGGUUCGAUCAGAUGACUUUUAUUAACCUUUUUCCCUCUUACUUUCUAUAUGACCCUUUUAGCGAGCUUUACACCGGUGACUCCCAAGCCAGUUGACCUUAGGGCACCAGAUUUUAAAAUAUCCUUACAAGCUUAUUUGCUCGAGUCAUAAAGGCAUGAAAAAAAGUGUCUUAUUCUCACAAAUUUAUUUUAUGCCCUUAUUGUUCUAGACAUUUAGUUUCCAAAAUCAACCCCUAAUUUAAGAUUUUCACCUAAUCUUCACCUCACUGGGCUAGGCAAUCCACACAAUAAAAUUCAUACACGGAGCCUCCACUCAUCUCAAUGCUCCCCUAUAAUAGCUCAACCAUCACCAAACUGUCUUAAGGCAUUUUACGAUUUAAUUCAAUAGAAGGUUACCAUUCUUUUCCUAUUUUGUGCUCAAACUCCUGUCAUUCACCCAAUAUGUGAAGCAUGAAUAGUGUGCACAAAUAAUGUCAAAUGUUGCAUCAACAAGUAUUAAUUAGCCUAAUUGUACCAGAUCCAAAGUUUUUGCAGUUUAAACUAGUCCAAUUAUAACAUCAUAGCUAGUAAGGUUAUCAAGUUCACACAAGCAUGCAUGAAAAGAAUUAAAGCAAAACUGAAUAAAAUGCACAUAUUUUUUUUUUAUCUAUUCACUCAUCAUGCACACAUUGUGGAAUGCAGAUACCGAUGAACACAGAUACUUAGUUAAAAUUAUUUCACCCCCCAAACUUAGUUAAUACAUUAUCUUCAAUGUAAAAUUAACAGAAGAUUAAAAAUAGAAUUUUACAGACGACAUGAAAAAGGAAAGUCAAAAUGUGGUAAAUAGUACUUUCCCUGUAUCAAAAUGGAUAAGGUGGUGGGAAACUGGGUCCUGAUGUACCAUCAUCUGGCGGUGAAGGGUGUUGUCCAAGGAGCUACCGCAUCAUCUCAUUCAGCUCCCUCAUCAAGGUAAACUACUAUGCCUGCUCGGCCUGGAUAGCUCUCAUGGUCUCCCAAGUUUCAUUUAUCCUCAUUUGGACGCCGUCCACUCGGCCCACAUACAUGUUCAGCCGGCCAUUCAUGGUAUCAAUCUCUCGUCGCAUGACUGUGGCAUGGUCCCUGACAUCUCUGAUGUAGUUCAACGCAAGGUGAUUGUCUCUUUGUAAAUUUCUCAAUUCAGUCCUCAUGUUGCCAAAAUCCUAAAGGAAACUAUAGAGGUCUCGACUUAUGCCCGUGGUGGUGGAGAAUAUCUGUCUCAGCAACUGAGUCUCCAUGUCAGCCUGUGGUGCUGGAGCCCGUGGAUGUUCCUGAUCUGCAGGGAUUGGUCCUUGCUCUGCCUACUGUCUACGGCGCUCAGUUUCUUGCUCUUCCCUGUGUUUAACCUGAGCCCUUGUUUGAGCUUCAAAUGUAGUUCGUUUGAUCAUGGUGUUGGGUUUUUCAAGUAGCUUCUCAAGUAGGAGUGCAACACCCGCAGCCCUAUAUAUGCCACUAAUGAGGCUCAGGAAUAUCAGAGUGGAUCGGCGAUCUCUCCAAGUUCCCAAUGAGUGUAGUUAAUUGUAUAUAUGAGUAGCGAGAUCUAUCUUAUUGCCUCGAGCCAAGUGGUAGAUGAACCCUGCUGUCUGAUCUGUAAAUGUAGUCCUGUGUGACAUGGGCUCGAUAUUGUGGCACAUAAAGAGCCAUAGAAUUGCUAUGGAAGGGGUAAGCUCAAUCUGAUGCCACCCGGUAGUUUCAAGGGGCCAUGCAUUCUCCCGUCCCAUCAAAACCUCAGCCACUUCAUUCCAGUGAAAGUCAAUUGGGAUAGGGACCACAUUCUCCACGGUAAGCUGGUAGUAAUCAUGAAUAACCUCGGGAGAGAACAUAAUCCACUUCCCCCGCACCCAAGUCUGAUGGAAAUGCUCGGAGCCUGGCGUGUCAAUUUCACUGUUGAAGUUGGCGAAGAACUCUCGGCAUAGAGUCUCAUAGAUUGGAUAUGGUCGCUCCACCAACUUUUGCCACCCACAGAUCUGAACUAAGUUGACCAACUCAAAACCAGGGAAGUCAUCAAGCUUAACGGGUCUUUCAGCAUGUAAAGUCCAAUGGCGUACGAUAUUCUCAUAUUGUGCCGCGGUAUUUGCAUUUAAGAAUCGUCGAACCUCCCCCGCAAGCUCUCGAGUAUGGGCUAUCCCAGUUGAGGAGCUUGCUUUUUCUUUCCCAUGCAAAGUUCUUUUAGGAGGCAUUCUACAAAGUUUGUAAAACUACACUCAUUAAGUUUGAUGUGAAAAGAAUAGGCAUGGAGUGAUAAAUUAAAAUAUACAUUGCACAAAUUCCCCAAACUUGAUCCUAGAUGCAUGUGUAACACCUUGGUGUGCACUAUUCAAGAUAUGAUGUUCAAUUUAAUUCAAAUAUUGCGCUAAUAUGAAAAACGGAGAAAACUCGGCCUAAACAUGCAAUUUUUCAAAAAUUGGAUCCAUGACCGAGUGCACACUUUCGGCCCUUGACAUCAUCGAGAAUUAUCAAAAUUUUCCCAGGUAAUCUCCGAGCAUAACAAAGUAGUCAUUGAAGUGUAGCACAUACUCGAAUUUCAACCCAAUUGGAUGUCAUUUGGUGUGUCAAAUGAAAAUGCAAAGUAGGGGACGUAAGGUGUCGUGAUGUACAGUGACCUAAUCAUGUGCCUAUGUGUUGCAAUGUGAAAGUGGGUGUUUUCUAAGUUAAUUCAUGUGGGAAUUCGUUAAAAAUUAUUUGGUGCCAUGUUUGUGAAUCAUUAUAUGUGUAAAAAGCACCUAAUUGCACACAAAUGGUUAUUGUGGCAUUUCAUCAAACACGUGGUGUGCACUAUGUGAAAGUAUUCCCAAGUUAGUGAAAUUAAGUUCCAAUUCAUCCCAAAAUUCACACAACACAAUCACAACAAAUUCAUCCCGAUAUGAACUAGCCCAUUCUCCCUCAAUUCAUGAAAAAGUGAAUGCCAAGAUGACUUACCCAAAAUGAUGAAGUCAAGAGAAAUGUGAGAAGUAAUACCUUGCCGUGAGGUGGUUGGUUUGAUGUACAAGGUGAAUAUUUUGGAGUGCAAAGGUGACUUGAUGGGAUGAAUUGUUGGAUGAAAUUAUGCCUAGAAUGCGUGAGAGAAUUGAGGGAAGAAAGGAGAGAGAAAAAAUUGAGGAUGGGAGGAAGGAACAGGGCGUGAUUUAAAAAAUCACACCCGAUUCUGCCAUGUAACCGCAUGGCUUUAUUGCGUGCGGUCGCAUGGUUCAAGUGGCUUUGGCCACUUGAAUCUCGGUUGCAAUGUGUGUGGUCGCAGUAUGCGACCGCAUUAUCCAAAAUUUUUGAUUUCCCAAAAAACACAAGUUUGAUUAAAUUUCACAAUCACGCAUUGACAUUUGAAAUUUUGAGAAUAAACGUUUACCUCGAAAUGCGUGAACAUCAUACCCAAUCACCCAAAAAUAACUCCAAUCAACCCGAACUUGUGUGUGAUGCUUAGGGACUCGUGUGGACAGCGCUUGGACUCUUUUAACAUGUAUGGAUGAUCAAUGACCUAAUUUAAAAAAUUUGAAAAAUGAAGUUGAAAAAUUCCUAAUAUGAUGCAAAAGAAAACAAAGUAAAUUAACUUAAAAGGAUACAGUGGGUUGCCUCCCACCUAGCGCUAGGUUAUAGUCGAUAGCUCGACUUUUCUGCAGCUACUUUAUUCUGGUGUCCCGAGUUGAACAGUGGACUUUUGGUUGGAGAAGCCACCGCCCCAGUAGUGUUUCAACCUUUGCCCAUUAACAGUGAAUGUACCUUUAGUCUUAUGGCUGACUUGUAUAGCUCCGUAUGGUAAGACUUUUGUGACAGUGUAAGGACCCGACCACCGUGACCGUAGUUUUCCUGGGAACAAUUUGAGUUUCGAGUUAUACAGUAGCACUUGCUGCCCCACUUCGAAUACUCGUCUCUGAAUGGGCAUGUCAUGCCACUUCUUGGUUCGUUCCUUGUAGAGUUUUGAAUUUUCAUAAGCUUCCAUUCUAAAUUCAUCUAACUCAUUCAGUUGCAGUAGACGCUUUUCACCGGCGGCACUCAAGUCCAUAUUUAACUGUUUUAUAGCCCAAUAUGCCCGAUGCUCCAUUUCUAGUGGCAGAUGGCACGCUUUCCCAAAAAUUAGGCAGUAUGGAGACAUGCCUAUCAGUGUCUUGAAUGCUGUCCUGUAAGCCCACAAUGCAUCGUCUAGCUUUUUAGACCAGUCCUUUCUAGAUGAGUUCACUGUGACUUCGAAUAUUCUCUUCAACUGCUGAUUAGAUACUUCAACUUGCCCGCUGGUUUGUGGAUGAUAUGGAGUAGUGACACGGUGUUUAACGCCAUAUUUAUUCAACAGCUGCUCAAAUUGGCGAUCACGGAAGUGUUUGCCCCUGUCACUGAUUAUAGCUCGCGGUGUACCAUAUCGGGUGAAAAUACAUUUCUUCAAGAACCUAAUUACUGCCUUUGAAUCAUUUGUUGGCAGUGCAACUGCUUCCACCCAUUUUGAUACGUAAUCCACUGCUACCAAGAUGUACUGAUUUGAGAACGACGAGGGAAAAGGUCCUAUGAAGUCAAUUCCCCAAACAUCGAAUAUCUCCAUCUCCAAAAUAUUAUUCAGUGGCAUUUCAUUCCUCCUCGAGAUGUUCCCAGUGCGUUGACAUCGGUCACACCUUUUGACAAACUCAAAAGCGUCUCUAAACAGUGUAAGCUAGUAGAACCCUGAUUGUAGAAUCUUUGCAGCUGUUUUCGAAGCCCCAAAGUGUCCUGCAUAUGUAGAUGAGUGGCAGUGCUCGAGAAUCUCAUGUACUUCUUCCUCAGGUAUGUCUCUCCUUACUAUCUGAUCAGCCCUUCGCCUUAGAGGAUUGGAUCCUCCUAGAAAUAAUACUUUAAUUCGGUGAAGAACUUUUUUCUCUGAUGACUUGAGUAGUCCGGUGGUGGGAUGGAAUUGGCUAAGUAAUUGACGAUAUCUAUGUACCAAGGUGCUUUAUCCACUCUUAACAUCUGCUCAUCUGGGAAGAUCUCAUUUAUAUCCACUAAAUCUUCCGUCUCCCCAGACUCUAAUCGGAAUAGGUGAUCUGCUACUGCAUUCUCACUGCCCCUCUUAUCUCGUAUUUCGAUAUCAAAUUCUUGCAGCAAUAGCACCCAACGAAUUAAUCUCGACUUUGCAUCCUUCUUUGUAAGCAGAUAUUUCAAUGUAGCAUGAUCAGUGUAGAUGAUGACUUUAGACCCGACAAGGUAUUACCUGAAUUUGUCGAAUGCGUAUACCACAGCUAAUAGCUCCUUUUCAGUGGUGGCAUAAUUGAUUUGCACAUCAUUUAGAGUCCUACUUGCAUAGUAGAUCACAUGAAAAAUCUUGUUCCUCCACUGUCCUAAUACUGCACCUACGGCGUGAUCACUUGCAUCACACAUCAAUUCAAAAGGCAGUUCCCAGUCUGGUGCCACAAUUACUAGUGUUGUCGUAAGCUUCUCCUUUAAAGUGUUGAAUGAUGUGAGACAUUCCUCAUUAAACUCAAAGGUUACGUCUUUCAUUAGCAGAUUGCACAACGGUUUAGUGAUAUUCGAGAAAUCUUUUAUAAAUCUCAUGUAAAACCCCGCAUGCCUCAAGAAACUGCGAACUCCUUUAACUGAUGUAGGAGGUGGUAACUUCUCAAUAACUAGAAUUUUUGCCUUGUCCACCUCAAUUCCUUUUGCCGAGAUCCUAUGCCUGAGUACAAUGCCUUCCUGCACCAUAAAGUGGCAUUUCUCCCAAUUUAAAAUCAGGUUAGUCUCCUUGCAUCUCUGUAAGACCAAAUUCAGGUGCUCUAGACAUUCAUCGAAUGAAGAUCCAAACACUGAGAUGUCGUCCAUGAAAACUUCAAUAAACCUUUCAAUCAUAUCGGACAAUAUUGCCAUCAUACAUAUCUGAAAUGUAGUUGGAGCGUUACAAAGAGCAAAAGGCAUCCUACGAUAGGCAAAAGUACCAUAGGGCCAGGUGAAAGUGGUCUUCUCCUGAUCUUCUGGUGCGAUAGGUAUCUGAUUAUAGCCCGAGUAUCCAUCAAGGAAGCAGUAGUGUGAAUGUCCAGCCAAACUCUCUAACAUCUGAUCAAUAAAUGGGAGGGGGAAGUGAUCCUUUCGUGUAGCUCUAUUGAGUUUGCGAUAGUCGAUGCAAACUCUCCAUCCCGUAACUGUUCUGGUGGGAAUUAAUUCAUUCUUCUCAUUUUUCACCACUGUGAUUCCCCCUUUUUUUAGUAUCACUUGAACUGGACUGAUCCAUGCACUAUCUGAAAUUGGAUAGAUAAUUCCUGCAUGCAAUAAUUUCAGUAUCUCUGCCCUGACCACUUCCUUCAUAUUCGGAUUCAAUCUUCUCUGACCCUCUAUACUUGGCUUGCAGUUUUCCUCCAUUAGAAUUUUAUGCAUACACAGAGAAGGGCUAAUUUCUUUAAUGUCAGCUAUUGUCCACCCAAUCGCCGUCUUGUUCUCUCUGAGUACCCUGAGCAGUUUUUCUUCCUCCACCUCACUGACUGUGUUUGAAAUGAUUACUGAAAGUGUAUCUGACUUCCCCAAAUAUGCAUAUCUGAGAUGUGGCGGUAGUUGCUUGAGUUCUAAAACUGGGGGCUGCUGGAUGGAAGGCAGUGGCUUCGUAUUUCAUGUCCCCGGUUCCUUGAAGUGCCAUUUUCGGGUGUAUAUAGGGUUGGUCUCCAAAAACUUUGCACAUGUUUCAACUUCAAGAAAACUUGACUGAACUAAUUGGGAUUGUGCAAUGCAUGCCUCAUAUGCAUCAGAUGGGCCGUGAAGUAGGAAUGUUUCCUGUACUGCCUUGUCAAUAAUGUCAACUUGGUAAUAGUUGUCUGAUUCUGCUGACAGUUUCAUGGCCUUGAAUACAUUGAACGAUAUCCGCUCCUCUCCCAAUCUUAAGAUCAACUGUCCCCUUUGAACAUCAAUUAACGCUCUUCCUGUUGUUAGGAAUGGUCUGCCAAAUAUCAAUGUGACAUCCUUGUCUUCUUCCAUAUCCAAUAUAAGAAAAUCUGCUGGGAAUAUGAAUUUUUCGACCUUGAUGAGCACGUCUUCAAUUAUCACCCUGGGGUGUGUCAGUGACCUGUCUGCCAUCUGAAGUGUCAUAGUAGUUGCAUUAGCUUCUCCCAAGUUGAGUUUCUUAAAAAUAGAUAGAGACAUUAAAUUAAUACUUGCACCGAGGUCACAUAAUGCUUUAUCGAAAUAUACUUCACCGAUCGUGCAAGGAACAGUAAAACUCCCUGGAUCUUUCAGUUUUGGUGGGAGCUUAUUCUGGAUUCUGGCACUACAUUCCUCCGUAAGCAUAACUAUCCUCAUGGUCUUCUAGCUUGCGUUUAUUUGAUAUAAUAUCCUUGAGAAACUUCACAUAGCUAGGCAUCUGAAACAGUGCAUCGGCUAGUGGGAUGUUGAUAUGGAGCUUUUUGAAGACUUCUAGGAAUUUUUUGUAUUGUCACUCCACUUUUUGCUUCUUCAAGUGCUGUGGAAAGGGAAUCGGAGGCUCUUAUGAGUUGACUGUGACCUUGGCCUUAUCCCGUGAUUUUUCUGAAUUUUCCUUUGGAGUUGAUUCCUUCACAGCAGUCUCAUCUUCAGCAGGGGAGGAUGUCUCUACAGUCACACCUGGUCUCUUGACAUGGAUUUUAGGUAAUUGUACUCCACUUCGAGUUGUAAUAGCUUUAGCUUGCUCUUUGGGAUUGAUUUCUGUAUUACUUGGCAAGUUACCUCGCGUUCUGCCAAUCAAUGCGAUGGCUAGCUGCCCCAUCUGAGUUUCCAAAUUUUUGAUGGCUGUAUUUUGAUUUUGGAGUGUAGCUUCGGCUUUCUCCAUGAAUUUUUCUAUCAUAUCCUCCAAUUGAGGCCUCUUCUUUUGUUCUUGAAAUUGCCUCUGUAACUUAUUCUUAUUCUGGUUGCUCCAAGAGAAGUUGGGAUACUUUUUCCAGCUGGGAUUGAAAGUCUAUCCAUAUUGAUUGGGUUGCUGGCGUUGUUCCCACUGUGCAUAGUCUACUUGCUCAAUUCCUUGCAUGAAUAUUGGGCAUUCUGAUGUUUUAUGUUCGGCUCCACAUUCCUCACAAUUGCUCUUCUUAGCUUAUGCUGCUUGUGAUAUGCUUUCCACCUUGUGAUACAGAGAGUCGAUUUUUGUAGAUAUUGCUGAAUAAGCGUCCGCCUCGUAGACACCUGAAGUUUUCCUUGGAAUCGCCUUCUCAGAAGACCACAUGGCUGAUGUGGUAGCCAUUCUCUCAAAUAAUUCUAAUGCCUCAUCAAUUGUUCGUGUGGAUAUUGAGUCAUCUGAUACUGAAUCCACCAUGCUCUUGUGUUAUGGAAGUAAUCCUGUGUAGAAGAAUCGGAUUUGGGUCUUUUUGUCAAACCCAUGCUGAGGGCACUUUCGGAGCUUGUUUCUGAAUCUGUUCUAAGCUUCGUCAAAUGAUUCAGUUUCUCCUUGACUGAAUACUGAUAUAUUAUGUCUCAGCUUCGCUAUCUUGGUUGGAGAGAAAAACUUUGUGCAGAAUUUGUGUGCUAGCUCGUUCCAUGUAGUGAUACUUGCAACUGGGAAUAAAUCCAACCAUUCAAGUGCUCUGUCUCGUAAUGUAUGUGGAAAAAGCCUUAACCUAACAGCGUCAUCCGAAAUUUCUUGGUAUCUAAAAUGUUGACACAUAUCCAAAAUGUGUGUGGAUUCUCCUCGGCUUUGCCAUAGAAUUGGUGUCCAUUUUGAAAUAGUUGUAUCACAUUGGUCUUCAACUGGAAAUUUAGCUGCCCAAACGGUGGAUACACUAUGCUGGAUUGACUUUGAAUUACUUGAGGAGUCAAGAAAUCUCCCAGAAUCUCAUUUCCUUCGUCCAUUGCCUCUCCUUCAUUAGCUUGAAUAAUAGGAUUGUUUAAUUCGUUGGCCAUUUGUACUUGUUCUUCGCGGUGAUCUCUUUGUCAUCGAUGAAAGGUGCGCUCGAUUUCAGGAUCAGCUGGAAUCAAUUCUCCUCCAGGCAAUCGUGACAUGUAAAUCUGGGAAUUAAAACCAGUACGAGCAUUGAGAUUCAAACAAUUUAAAUGACUAAAACACAAAUAAAGGAUAAUAACCUAAAAUAAAAAUAUAAACAAAAUUAUACUAGCAAAAUAAAAAUUGAAGUUCGAAUUAGUGCCUCGAGAAAUAAAAUUAAACUAAACUCAAUCCCCGGCAACGACGCCAAAAACUUGUUCUCGAAAUAUUUUCUUUCGAUUUUAAACUAGCAAGUGUAUGGUUCGUUAACAAGUAAUAAAGUGGAUUCAAUGAGUCCGAAUAUCGUCCCACAGAGAUUGAUUAGUUCAAAGUUUAUCUAACGUAGCCUUAACCGAAACUGGGUUGCCAAAGUGGAUGUGAACCUAAGUAAAACCCUAAUUUUAAAAAGAAACCCUAAUUGCGCAACUUUAAUGAGUGAAUUGAAGUUAAGACUCAAAACAAUAUUUUAACACUCUAGAAUAAAACUAAAUGUUGAGAACGCACGUUAUUAUAAUCAAUAGAAAUUAAACACACUAGGAUCACGAUUUCCCAUGCAAUUAUCACUUUAAACCCUAAUUUCACAAUAUGACAACACACCUCAAUUGUGACGAAUCAAUGUUCCUAAGUCCAUCCAAUACUCUCUUUCGAGAUGUAUCGAACCUAUUUCUACCUACCACCGGCCUAUAUUUCUAUGAUAAGAGCAUAUGUAAAAAUGCAUGCGAUGUUAUGAACAAUUAAAGAUUCACGUAGGGUAUAGCGGUAUACUUCUAUCCUCUAUCGGACCCUACGAUGAUUUAUAUUAUGUCAAAUCUAUUCCAAUUCUCUCGAAUGCAAGAAUAAAUCACCCAAAUUCACACAAUUACGAGCUCUUAAUUGCGGAAACAUUAAUUGCAUAUAAAUCAUUCAAAACAAUAAAAGUGUGUCUUAAUGUCAAAUUGCAAAACUAGGAUAUUAAAAUUCAAAUUACAUGGUUCAUCGAUCUCUUAGCACAUGAAAAUCUAGCCUAGCAUGGUUAAAAUAACAAAAUACAUCAGGUUUUGAGUAAUAAGCAUCACUGGAUUAUAAAAGUUUGAAGAAAUCUUGAAAUUCUACAUGCCAAUCUUCAUUCUUGCGCUCCAAAUUCUCUUCAAGAAGUGUUUUUCUGCCUCCCAAUGCAUUCCCCUCGUUUCUAGACCUUUUUUGAUAUUUAUAUCGCAUGAAUAUUAGGUUACCAAAGGAGUUUUAAUCGUAUAAAGAAAGAACAUUUUCGCAUCGGGAAGACUACCAUGCGACCGCAUGGUUAUUCCAUGUUUCAUCAAAAAUUUCCUGCACUCAGUCGCGGGACCGCAUGAUAGACUCCAACUUCUAUUCUCUUCAAUUUAGUCUCUUUAUUUGAAUCUUUCACUUCUAGGCCUCUUUUCUUCACUCUUUCCAUUCCAUCAUCAAUUGGCAUUUGGUUCAAUCAAUUCUUUGAUUUGUUCAUCGGGUCAACUUUUGGGUAGUUGCACCUUGGUCCUUGAACUUUCACUUUGUGUCAUUUUAGUCCUUUUUGCGUCUUUUCACAUGACUUUCACCAUGUUUAUCGGUGUUUCCUACAAUUCACAAAUGUAACGAGAUUAAGUCACAAUUCAAUCAUUAUGCUCGUUAUUAAAUCAUGUUUGUGACCUAAAUAAGUGUGCAAAAACACACUUAUCAGUAGUAUUAACGUGCAAGUGGUGGGUCCCAUCAUUUAUAUAACCACUUAGCAUUAAUUACAAAAUUAUAUUUAUCCAUAUUGUCAAUAUAUAUAUUAGAUUGUUACCUAAUUUUUUUAUUAAAUACACUUUAUAUUUGUUUUUUGAAGUGUAAUUUUUAAAUACCUGCUCUAGUGUAAUUUUCACUUUUUCUCCCAUCUUCCAAUGAUACCAUGUUAAGUAUUGUCUUUCAAAUUUUUUGGUCAAAAAAAUUUGUACUUGUAGUAUGAUUGUUUAGUAAAUUCACGUAUCAUUUAAAGAAAGAAGAAAUAAAAAAGUAAAAGUUAACAAGACUGGAGGACAAUAAUUGGAAUGCAUGAACACCGAUAAAAUUGGAAAAUUGAAAUUUCAAGAUGGGUGACGUUGUUUAACAUUUUGUAGUAUUAACGUGCAAGUGGUGGGUCCCAUCAUUUAUAUAAUAUAACCAUUUAGCAUUAAUUACAAAAUUAUUUAUCCAUAUUGCCGUGGAAUAUAAGGUCCUGUUUGAGCCCAUUAAUUUGAAGAAAUGUAUUAUGGAGUAGUGAUUGAUAUAGAAAUUAUUUGAGUCUGGUCUCAGCUUUUGGCUAUUUGAGCUGGUUUUGAGGACCACUGUUGUUAAAUCUUUUACCUUUAACAAAAGUUAUUAUAUAUUUUUUAUUAAGAAAAAAAAAGAAAUUGAAAUAAAAAUACUAUUUAAAAGAUAAAAUGGCUUAUCUUAAUAUUCACAGUUUUUUAUAGAAAAUUUCACCUUUAUCCCAACCAGGCACAUACUUCGUUUUUAAAGUGUUUUUUGGAGAUGUAUUCAUAUUUUUAUCUUUCAUUUUUAUUCUCCAUGUACUAUUUCCCUCUUACUCUGUUUUUAUUAAGAUUCGCGGUGCCAUAAGACCAUACAAAGUUCCCAAUGCUUUGAAUUUUCUUUUAAUUUAUGAAACGAACAUAUAUUUGCUAACUAGCAUGAAAUUGAUUAGCAACACAUUUUCAUCAAAAUUUAUCAAAAUUUACUAAAAAUUGUUGUUUAGCAAAAUCAAAUAGGGGGCAAAAAACAAGUUUAAUUUAUUUCACUUCCCUCACAAAUGUCUCGCCCUGCAAUGAUCACACUUUUUCUACAUGGGAUUAAAGCAACCAUGGCCGGCAAGAGGAAGGCAAAGUUCGAGGCUCAGCCGAAGAUGAACAAGAAGAGGAAGGCUUGACAUGAGAAGAGUUAAUAGCAAAAUUAGACAUAUUGGAUGAAAAAGGGUUAUUUCGGCAAUGUUAGAUAUGAUCUUGUCAAUAAAAAUAAUGUUUGUUGAAACUUAUUUAUUUAUCAAUUAAUUUAAUUAUUAGUAUAAUCUUGAAGUUGAGAAAACAUGAAUGUGAAUUAAAUCCAAUUUAUUUGAACCCUUAGAAAUCUUGGUCGAGGUUUCUUACUUUGGAUGUGAUUCCUCAUUCACUAUGAAAUGUGGUGGUAUGGAGGAUUGAUGUUCACACCAAAUAGUAUUUUGAGAACAAUAACAUAUAGUUAUGUAAUUUUGAUUGCGUGUUUCGAUCAGAGCUUUUAGUAUUUUAGAAAGAUUGGUCGUCAAAUUCUUUAAAACAGAGUACCAUUAUGUAAUUUCUUAAUUUUUCAUUGUUAGAUAUGUAUCAUUAAUUAUUUCAAUCAUAACUCCAUCAGUCUAUAUUUCUUAAGAUAAGAGUUGAUUUUCUAUUUGAUAAGAAAAGAUAUACAUGGACAACUAGACUUCUUUUAUUUCAUGGAGUGUCGUACACACUUUGUCUUGAAUGUCCUGAUUUUUGCCUCCUAAAUUCAAUCUUUCGUGGCGCGAGUUUCUUAAAAAAAAAUUUAAAUUUAAGUUCAUCCUAACAUCAUCUUUUGGCUUUGACGAGGAUGUGACUGAAAUUUUUUUUGACCACUUGAUCGGAGAGAUUUGAAGUCAACAAAUGCAAAUAAAUGUUUCUCUUCCUGGUUUUUUCAUUCUCACAAGAUGUCAUUGUCGUAGUCUUAAAUUUAAUUACAAUCAUUUCAAAUUCCAACUAAUUUCCAUUUUGUUUGGAUUUAUCUUUUACUUAUACAAAAAUAUUGUUGAUGAUAGUUAAGUUAAUCUCAUACCAUACCAUACCAUACCAUACCAUACCAACCAUAAAUCUCUAUCGUUGACUUGUUUAACAAAACAGAGCACAUUUGCAUCAAAAAGAGGUACCACGUACCAGGGCCGGUCCUGGGCCGAGGCGAAUGAGGCCCGUGCCUCAGGGCCCAGGACCAUAGGGGGCCCAUAAUUUUGGGCCCUUUUUUUAUUUUUAUUUUUUUUAUUUUUAAUUAAACCCUCCCAGCCCAAUAAGUGUAACCCACAAAAAACGGGAACCCAAAUCCAAAAUCAGAGUCGAAGCCCUCGCCGUGCGUUCCCCGUCUCCGACUCUCACAGUCUCACUCCGUCUGCAGUCUGCAGACUCUCCCACCACAGACAAGACGACCACGGGCACGGAGUCACGGACAACCACACUGCACAGCAGAUCCAAUUCCAGAGCUAGAGGGCAGCCCACAGCCGGCAGAGGUAUAUUCUUGCUUGGUCGAACUCGAACACUCGAAAUCUCAAAUCGAACUAUUUUAGGUUUAAUACUAGCGCACUGAUAAAUUAUAUCAACUAUUUUAGGUUUAAUACUAGUCUCGAAACUCAAAUCGAAAUCUGUUCUUGAGUUAUGCCGCGUGAAGCACUGAACUGACUGAAGCACUGUGAAUCCAUCAAACCAAAGAGGUACUCAUUUUGUUUUUGUUAUUCUUUUGGUCGAUCAUAAUAUCAUAUUGGAACAAAAAUUACAAAAUGUUUCGAUUACUUACAGAGAUUAAAGAGACGAUGAAACUUAUUGGAAAUCGCAAGAAAAUUUUAAGGAUUAGAAUUAUAUAAUUUACAAUUUAGAUUCGUUGUUUCUAAUUUCUACAUUUGUUUUUUGCUUGUUAAUUAGGAUCGGAUUUUUGAGGAGGAAUUUAGAACAGCGGAUGUAUAUAACUCUCGGACCAGAGAUAUAGUUGCUGCUGCAGUUCGUGGCUUUAAUGGUAUGAGAUAAGUUUUAUUAAGUUGACUUAUGUGCUGCACGGUUGUUAUAAUCUGGGCAUUUUGAUUUUUUUUAUCCUUUUUGUGUUAUUUUUAUUUGGAUAAUUACAUAAAAACAUCAAUAGGAUUUCAGCCUUUAGAAGGAUAACUAAAUGGCUGAUAAAGUUCCAAUACUUUUAACUGCCAAUACGGAUAUGGCAGAGAAAGAAAUAAAAGGUCACCAAAUGAUAUAGACAAAGGUUUUUAGUAUUACUAUCAAAAAAAUAAGAGAAGUCAUCAAAAAUGAUAUAGACAAAGGUUUAUCUUGAACGACGUGCCUCAUCGUCUUUUAUAUUUAUGUAAGUCAAUUGAGGUAAAUAAGUCAAAUUCCUUUUCACUUAUCCCAACGACGACCUUAGCUUCCAACGAGAUUGAAGGUUUUAGAAUAUGACAUUCUCUCUUUUGUGUUGCUUUCAUUACAGAUUUCCUGUUAUAGCCUAUUUGCAGCAAAUAUGAUGGUUUGAAGUAGUUGGUGUGGUGAAGUUCCCUUUCAAUCCAGAUAUAUAUACAACUGUGAUUCUGGUAAUAAUAUGCCUUUAUUGUAUCUCAAUGUGGUUAGAAUAAUGUAUCAUAAUUUGGAUACCUUCUUACACUGGAUAAGUUAAAGUAUCAUAAUUUUAUAUAAUUUUUUAUUUCAGGCUUGUGAGUUGUGACGGGAUCAGGGUGUAAUUCCACAAUUUUCAUCCAAAUUUCACUUCUCAGGUAAGUAAUGGCUUGCCCUAACUUUUUAUUGAAGAGAUUGUAAAUGUUUGAAGCCUUGCCGGCUUAUAUAAUUGUAGCCUUGCCGGCUUAUAUGAUUGCUAUUAUUGGCCUAUCUCCAUCUGCAAUAGUCACCCAACGAACAAACAAAAUACACAUCUACUUCUUAAUGCUUGGUGACUUGUCAUCUUAAUAUCCAAUUCCUUUAACCUUAAGGCCUCCAUCAAGUCUCCUAACCCCUUAGUACUUCAUACAGGAUAGAUAGAUAUAUAUCUUAUAAGUCACAUAUGUCUCCAAAUAUGAUAAGGGAAAAGUCAAAUUUUGCUGCAUCAAGCAACAUCCUGCUUUAACACACAUCAUGCUUGUUAACUUGGUUGUGUGCAAUAUCUUCUUAAAUCUUUAAGCUAGGAUAUGGCCCUAACCAUUUAAGACUCUUUAUAUACCUCCUAAUAUCUAACCUUCAAGUUAUCCCCAAGUGAAAGAGAAAGCAAAGGAAACAAAGAGAAGUAGAAACAAGAAGCUAAAAACUAAAUUUAUAGGUGAGUUUUUUAGUUCAUGGUUUUGAAGGUUGUUUUCAUUGUUUUUGAAGGUGUUACAAUCUCUUAAGAAUUUGAAAUUGCUUGAUAUUAUGUUUCAAGUUUGUUUGGGAUGUUAUUAUGGCAAAAGAGAGAAAAUUAGUAGAGGUAUAUUAAGUGAAAUAACUGAGAACGGGAAUUGCAUAGUUGCUAGAUUUUGCCUAUUCAAUCUUUGAUUUUGGAUAAUUCUUUGAGUAUAACUUUUAGUUAUUAAUAUGAAUGCUUUUAUAUUUGUGUUAGAAGUAUAUAAAUGAUCAUAAUAAAAAUGCACGAUUUGGUGUUAAAUAAAAGGGAUUGAUUUUCAGGUUGUAAAUAAAUUACUUGUGAUUUAAUAACAUAUUUACGUGCGAGUAUUAUAUAAGUGUGGUAAAAGUUUGGGAAUUGCGAUAUGAGAUCAAGGGUACAGAAAGUAAGUUGGAACAAUAGAAAUUGAAAAAUAGAUUCUGUCCAUCUUCAGAUUUUAUCACCCUAAAGCUAGAAAAUUUUGAUUUGAAUAUGCGCUAUGACAUUAAUGAUCCAGUUAAAUGAUGUCUAUAUUCGUAGAACUUGGAAAAUAAUGGUAAUUAUACAGUCGGUUACUUGUAGUGUUAAUCUAAAAUAUUUUGCCAUCUAAGGUCUUUUUAUGAAUAAAAUAUUUUUGUACCUAUCCUUGGAGGAGUUAUUUCUCAUCCUCCCUUCUUUCCUGCACUCUCUCAUCCUCAUCCUUCCUUAUUAAUGUAUUUAUCUUACUUAGGGGUGCGUUUGAUGUGAAAUUUUUGUUUCAGGGUCGGGAGUUGAUAGCUUGUGACAGUGGAAUUCUUGAAAGUGUAACUCCAAAGUUUUCAUCAAAAUUCUACUUGUCAGGUAAGUAAUGGCUUGCCUUAACUUGUUAUUGAAGAAAUUGAAAAUGUUUGAAGCCUUGUCGGCUUAUAUAAUUGUGGCCUGGUCGACUUAUAUGAUUGACUAUUAGAGGAUCAACAAUUGCACAGGCGCACAUAAUAACUAUAUUGAAAACUCUAACCGUGUGAUGAUUUGAGAUAUUUUGUAUUUGUUUUUUAGGUUAAUCAUUGAGCAUCAGAUAUAGACUCAUACACCAUGCCUCCUAAAUAUGAGUCUGGUGCUCAAAAGAGAAAAAGGAAACGAACUGAGAUUUCAUUAAUUCAAAGUCAAGCAGGGGAUAUUGGCAAGUACUUUAAAAGCAACAAUAUGAAUACGUUGAAUGAGGAUGAAGUAGAGAUUCAACCUGCAUGUGUUAAUGAAGUAGAUGAUAAGGAUGAAGAAGUGAGUCAACCUACCGAUGUUAACGAAGUAGAUGAUAAGGAAGAAGAAGUGAUGAAGCCCGUCUCUAAUGAUGAAGAAGAUGAUAAGGAAGAAGAGGGUUGCUCUUCUCUAAAUUUGGAUGAUCCCGGGAAUUGGAAAAUUAUUGAUCAGAGAACAAAGGAUUACUUGGUUGAAAGGGGUCCAAAAAGAGUUGAUGAUAUCUCGUUUCCGAAAGAUUGUACAAAUAGGCAUUUUGAUUCUUCACAAUAUAAACGAUUGCUACGAAAUGGGCAAACAAUUGAUAGAAGAUGGCUAGUCUAUUCAAUAUCUAUGGACAGGAUCUUUUACUUUUGUUGUAAGUUGUUUAAAACAGCCAAAAACGCUACCAGAGUUGGCCAACUUGGUAACGAUGAAUUCAAAGAUUGGCAUAAUUUGCAUCGGUCUAUUAAAAGUCAUGAAGGAAAUGAAGAGCAUUUAUGUUGCAUGACUAGCUGGAUUGAAUUGGAAAAUAGGCUUCGAACAAAAACUACAAUUGAUAAAAGCGUUGAAUUGUUGAUCGAUGCGGAAAGAGAACAUUGGAGGCAUGUACUAACAAGGAUAAAUUUGAUGAAAACUGUAGUAAUGAGGUAAAGCAAUCAGCAGAAGAAUCAUUUAGAGUUGAGUACUUUGUUUUUAUAAUUGAUCAAGCUCUAUCUUCUCUGAGGACUCGAUUUGAACAAUUCAAACUAUAUGAUGAUAUAUUUGGAUUUUUGUUUGAUUUGAAGAGGUUAAGGAGUGCAACUUUAUCAAGUUUGUUGAACUCUUGUAUGAAUCUUGAGAAAUAUCUUGAACAUGAUGGGCUUUCGGAUAUCAGUGGAGAUGAUUUAUGUUCGGAAUUACAAGUCUUGAAGAUUUAUUUACCAAAUGAAGCAACAAGAGCAAUUGAAGUGCUACACUAUUUGAAGACAUUGGAUGUUUGUUUUCCAAAUGCUUAUAUUGCUUACAAAAUUUUAUUAACCGUACCGGUUACAGUUGCAUCUGCGGAAAGAAGUUUCUCGAAAUUGAAGUUGAUCAAGACUUAUCUCCGAUCAACUAUGUCACAAGAAAGAUUAAACGGGUUGGCUAUAUUAUCAAUAGAAAAAGAAAUGGUUAAGCAGCUAUAUUAUCAAUAGAAAAAGAAAUGGUUAAGCAGCUAAGUUAUUCAGAUUUGAUUGAUAUUUUUGCCUCUAAAACAGCAAGACGAAUAGUAUUUAACUAAUUGUUUGAAAUUUUUGGUUUGAUGGUUUAUAAUAUAAUCGUUUCUAUGAUAUAUUUCGUUGUUGUUUUAAUGUUAGUUUUUUAAGUUAGCAAUAAGUCACAUAAUACACCUUUGAAUUUUGUCGAUGGGGGGCCUAAUUUUCAUCAUUCGCCUCAGGGCCCCUCAAACACAGGACGGGCUCUGCCACGUACGAGACAAUAAAAUGAUAAAGUAAAUGAAUUGAAUUUAAGAACUCAUCCACUGAUUGAGAAAUUAUUAAUCCAAUUUUGAUUUUAAAUGAAAAGUUCCAUCAUACUACUGCCAAUCCAAUCCUCAAAUUUACGAAUCGAUAAGGAGUUGAAAGCAAAAGAUUUAGAAGAUCAAUUUACGAGUAUGAUGGGAUUGAAUAAAAUCAAGGGCGGAUACGAGCAUGGGUUCGAUCGAACUAUAGCCCGUAUCCGGCCUGCAAAUGUCCACUUUAUUCUCAGUUUUUUUUUAAAGAUAAAUCCAUAUAUAUUUGUAUUAUAACUCGUGUCCAAACUCAAAACGAGAUCCACCACUGAAUAAAAUAAUCUGAACAAUAAAACAAUUGGUUCCUUGAUACACUAUAAAAUAAAUUCUGUCAUUGCAAUUAAUCCAUUGAUAUGUAAGUGACACUCCAAUGGCCUUCCUUUAUCAUCUUCGUGCACAUAUCUACUAGUAUGAUAAAAAAUACAUAAAAUUCUAUAGAAUUUUCAUUGCGAACAAUCUUUUCAAACUAUAUUACAUCAUCUUUUAAGUAUACAUCCCAAUAAUCACCAACAAGAACAGCAAUGCUUCUAUGUUAAGAGCAUACCUAUGUGCAAGUUGCAAAUAAAAUAGGGAUUCAAGUGUCAAUCAAAGAUUUGUUAGAAUUUUGCAGGAAAUUUUGUAUUAUUUGGUGAAUGAAAAAUUAAGCCAAAAUUUAAAUCACUUAAAUACGUGAAUUAUUGGAAAAGUGCGUAGAAUAUUAUGAAAUAUUCUAGAAAUUAUUUGGUUGAAAAUGUGUCUUUCUAUAUGAAAGAUUAUAACUUUUGGCAUUAUCAUUUUCCAAAAGACAUGUCUCUUCAAAUAUAGAGAUUAAUUACAAUGGUUCUGUCUCUUCCAUAGGUUGUGUUUUUUGGACUAACAUUUUCAACAUCUAUAUAUUGACCCCAUAGAUUUGGAUUUAUUUAUUCAGAAAUUUCAUUCCAUUCCAUAUUUUACACUUUACUAAGCAUAAAACGCUUUGACGUGAUUAUCUUUUACAUCAAAAUCAUGGUUAUGGUAGAGAGGGAAUUUUAUUCGAGUUCGCUGGUCGAAGUCAUUUGGAGUGCUCAUAUGGCUUGACGUGGUCGUUGUAUCUUGGGACAUGAUUGUCUGAAAAUCGUUAGCACGGAUGUGGGGCAAAUUCAUUUUAAGGAAAGAAUUAUACUCGCCUCGGCCAAUAGCAUCACUUGCAUCUAAUUUUUUCUUAUUUUUGAUUUCAUUUCUCAAUACUUGAUUUCAAAAAAUGAUUAAUUAUAUUUAUAUGAUUUAUGCAAAGUUCGAUGUGAAGAAUCACAUGUUUUAAUUUAAGAAUGGGAAUUGUCAGAUUUGAUAAUCAUUGGGUAGUUUCUCAAACUCUAUUUCGGUAAGUCGAAACCUUAUUUCGAUUUUGUGAACGCGUAAGUUACGUUUUGUGAAUAUAAUAUGCACAUUUGAAUCGAUGUAUUCCCCAACAAGAUGAUACCUCGGCCGCUACCAUUAGGGUAUGCGCUGGGUAAACCCUCGUACUGAUACAAUAGCUUGCAAACCACGUUAACUAGGUAAAUCGCACUAGGCAAGUCCUGUGCGACAUGCUCAAUCGAGAAAAUGGGGGAGGGAUUUACUUUCCUUCGGUGACGGUGUAGUUUUGGGGAAGAUGAUUUAGGACGUACAAACGAUGAAGUGUAGAGGAUUUGAGCGUAUGAAUUAUGGGAGUAAAAGUUUUAAUUUGUUUGAAGGUAUUAUUCUAAUUGAUUAGUUUUGGGGUAUUGGGUCUAAUUAUCCCAAGGGAAGGAAAACGGGUGGAUUGGAUUUGGGCCUUCAAUUUCACAUGCAAAAUUAAUGAAAUAGCACCAAAACUAACCUGAUUGUGAUUGUAAUACUAUUACAUUAGUAGAAGUAACUAGAAAAUUAGAAGUACGUUGCUCAACAAUAAUUUUUCCAGUAUGGAAGAAAUGUGUUGCUAUAAACUAAUUAUAUCUAAGAAAUGGUAAAAAUACAGAAAAUUAUUUUAAAUUUCUAAGAUUUAGAAAUUUCAAGAAGAAAGAAAAUGCUACUCGACAGUUAUUUCUUUUUAUAGAAGAUCGUGAAAUUUGAUCACAAGAUAUUUUGAAUUUGAUAACUUCAUUAACACGAGAGAAUAUUCUAAUUUUCAGAUUCAAGCGGAUAUAGUUUACCAAGUAAAAAAUAAUAAUAAUAAUUAAAAAAAAAAAGUGACAUUCAUGUGUUAGAAAAACACGAUUUUCCUAAAUUAAUAUUGGCAACAUAUUAAUACAAUUAUAUUAGCUAUUUAAUAUAAUGGGCAAAAAUCAAGUGGUCUAUUUUUUUUAUGCCCAUAGACUACUCAAAUUAAUAUGGACUAAGUGAGUAGAUACCGGCUAAUAUUACUCUAAUUAAGGGAUAAUGGGAACCUUAAUUAAGUAGUAUAUAAAGGUUAUUUUGGUUAUGGUCCCCAAUAUACCAAAUCAUACACUAUUUUCCCUUCUCCCCAUCAAGAAGAGAAAUCACGGUCCCAUUGAGAAAUAAAGAGAUUUGAUUGAGGAAGAUCACAAAACCACCCUCUUCAUUUGCAUUCAUCGGUACGUAGUCGAUUGUCGCAGUAAUUCUGCAACAGUAGGCAAUUGUUUACAAUUGAUACAUGUAUAUUAUCUGAAUCUGUGAAUCCUAGUAAUUUAGCAUGAUAUUAAUCCUAGGAUUUAAUUUAUAUUUGGAUCUAAUUUGAUUUUCUAUCAAGUGGUAUCAGAGCGGUCAUCAUUUGCUAGAUUAUUAGGAUUUGUGCAUGUUCUAUUCGUAUGAUAUUUGGAUUAUUUUUCUCGAAUAGAAUGUUUGAAUUUUGUGAAAUUCCUUAAACUGUUAAGUUUAAGAAUUAUUCUUGAUGGAUUCGGCAAAAUCUGAUCUCGAAAUUUUUGGCACAGUUAGUAUUGAUUUUAAAUUCUGUCCGUGUCCAUUUUAAGUUUUUUUUUUUGGGAUCUGAAUUUCAUCUGCCUUUUAGACAUCUGCAGUUUCAGAUAAUUUUAUAAUGAAUUUCAAUUGCAUCAAGAGCAAGUCAGCAAUUUUGGACUGUUUAUAAUUGAUACAUCACUUUUGGUAGCGUGUAGAUCACUGUCAAAAUCUGUGACCUUCAUUAUGGAUCCAAAAAUCAGAAUUUCAACUGCAUGGAUUAGCCGCAUUUUUUGACCCUUGUUUUAUGUCUCAUAAUGGAGUCAAUAUAGAAUGAUGUAUGACAGAAUACUAUUUGGCAUAUUUAGUGUAGAUUGGUAAUACACGUAACCUUUCACAAUGGAUCAAUUUCAAUUGCAUUAUAUGAUUCAGUUGCAAUUCUUGACUUUUGUUUCAUAAUGAGUCCAAGACAUGUGCCUUUUGGUUUAAAAAAAAAUAUAUAUAUAUAUAAAUAUAUAAAUAUAUAUAUAUAUAUAUAUAUAUAUAUACAAGAAUUUUCUAAUAUUAAAAAUUUAUCAGAUUCAGAUGAAGAAUUAGAAUUUAUGGAUAUAGAAUUGGAAUGUAAACAUAAAUGGAUAAAAGAAACAGGUUCAGAUAGUAUACCAUGUUUUUUAUGUAAAUGGUAUCCUAGUAAAAAAUUAAGAGUUAAAUAUAAAGAUUGUUUUUUAGAAGCACGUAAAAAAUGUUUAAUACAAAAAGACUUAAUAGAAUUUGAAGAGGAUAAUCAGAUUGAUUCAAUUCAAAUAGAAUUAUCAGAAAUAAAAAUAUUAAGAAAAAGAAUAGAAAACUUAGAAGAUAUGCAAAGAUAUAUUUUACAAAAAUUAGAACUAUUGGAAUUAAAUAAAAAAGGAAAAAAUCCAGAAAUUACUCCUAAACCAGAAUUAGUUCAAGUUUUUUGUAAUUCAGAAAAAUUAAAAAGUAUUAAAGUAAAAUGCUAUGUUAGAAUAGAAAAUUUUGAAAUAAUUUGUUUAGGUUUAAUAGAUUCAGGAUGUAGUCAUUGUGUAAUUAAUAAAAGAAUCAUACCAGAAAAAUAUAUAAUAAAGUCAAAGGAACCUAUAGAAGCCCAACAAAUGGAUGGGAAUUUUUAUAGUUACCAAGAUAUCUUAAAACCAGCAAGAAUUAGUUUUGAGACUAAUUGUGGAAAAAGUACAGAAUAUAGUUUACCUAAAGACUCAGUAUGGGUAAGAGAAUUAUCUUUAAAUACAGAUUUAAUUUUAGGAUUAAGUUUCUUAUUAAAAGAUAAUGGUAGUAUAAUAAUCAGUAAAGAUUAUAUGCAAUUACAAAAAUUUACAAUUUGUGCACCUACUUAUACUAAGAUUAUUCCAUCAGAGUAUGCUGAGAAGCGUGGUGGGAUUAAAGAAAAAGAAAAAGAAUGUGAGUGUAGUAAAGAAAGAGAAUGUCAAUUAAUAGAAAAAGAAGAAUUAGAAAACUUUUUAGAAGAAUACUAUGAAAACUUUAAGGAAGAAGAAGAAACAUGUUUAGAUUUUGUAGAAAUUGAAAAAAUAUAUAAUUUGUUAGUAACAGAACAAGAUAUAGAAAAUAUGAUUAGUAAACUAGAAAAAUUAGAUAUUUUAGGAGAAAAUGUAUUAAAAUAUUGGGAAAAAGAUAAAGUUUUUUGUGAAAUAAAAAUAAAAAAUCCAGAAUAUAUAAUAAAAACAAAAAAUAUUGAUGCUACAAACCAAGAUCGGGAAGAUUUUAAGAUGCAUAUAAAAGAUUUAUUAAAAUUAGGAGUAAUUAAAAAAUCAGAAAGUCCACAUAGAUCAGCAGCUUUUAUAGUUAGAAAACAUUCAGAAAUUAUUAGAGGAAAAAGUAGAAUGGUAAUUAAUUAUAAAAGAUUAAAUGAUAAUACAAUAGAUGAUGCCUAUAAUAUUCCAAAUAAAACAGUCUUAAUAAAUAAGAUACAAGAUUGUAAUAUUUUUAGUAAGUUUGAUUUAAAAUUUGGUUUUUGGCAAGUAAAAAUGUACCUAGAUUCAAUAGAAUGGACAGCCUUCACUAGCCCAGAAGGACAUUUUGAAUGGUUAGUUAUGCCAUUUGGAUUAAAAAAUGCCCUCAGUAUUUUUCAAAGAAAAAUGAAUAGUAUUUUUAGUAAGCAUAAUAAAUUUAUUAUAGUUUAUAUAGAUGAUAUUUUAGUAUUUAGUAAAAAUAGGAGAGAACAUAGAGGUCAUUUACAGAUUCUCUUUUCAGAAUUUAUUAGACAUGGUUUAAUUAUAAAUAAAAAGAAAAUAUUUUUAUUUAAAAAAUAUAUAGAAUUUUUAGGAGUAAAUAUAGGAAAAGGAAAAAUAGAGCUACAACCUCACAUAGCUCAAAAAGCUUUAGAUUUUCCAGAUAAACUUGAAGAUCUUAAGCAGUUACAAAAUUUUUUAGGAUUAGUUAAUUAUGCUAGACCCUUUAUUAAAGAUUUAGGAAAAAUUUCAGGACCCUUAUAUGGGAAAACUUCACCAAAAGGUCAAAGAUAUUUUAAUAUAGAAGAUAUUAAAUUAGUCCAAAAAAUAAAAGAGAAAUUAAAAGACUUACCUAAAUUAUCUAUGCCAUUAGAAACAGAUUAUUUAAUUAUAGAAACAGAUGGAAGUAUAACAGGAUGGGGAGCAAUUUUAAUUUCAAAACCCAAUAAAUAUGCAGAUAAGGAUAGUGAAAAAAUUGUAAGAUAUAAUAGUGGAAACUAUAAAAAAAAAGGUAAUAUAAGUAGCAUAGAUUUAGAAUUACUUGCAGUUAAUUAUGCAUUAGAUUCUUUUGAAUUAUUUAUUAUUUCUAAAAAAGAAAUUACUUUAAGAACAGAUUGCGAAGUAAUAGUAAGUUUUGUUAAUAAAAUGAAAUUAGAAAAUAAAAGAAGUAAUAGAAAAAGAUGGUUAAAUUUUAUAGAUAGAAUUACUAAUACUGGAUUAGUAAUUAAUUUUGAACAUAUUAAAGGAAGUGAUAAUCAGAUAGCAAAUAUUUUAAGUAGAAUAAUUAAAAAUAAAAAAUAUGAUUGAUUAUUUCUUUUAGAAUUUGCAGAUGCAAAGACCAAGAGGCCCCAGGCCAGGAUUGCCAACAAUUGGUAGUUCAAGUUCACAAACUAAUUUAGCACAGACUCAUGACAAAUUAAGAUUUGGUAAUGUAGAAUUACUUUGUUUUCCAAAUAGUAAUAUUAGCUUUAAGACAUUAUCUCAUAUUUCAGUUUCAAAAUCAGAAAAAUGUAUUUUAGAUAAUUUAUGGAUUUCCUAUAAUAAAAAUCCCAAAGAUCAAAAAUACUUUUUAGCAUGUUUCAAUGCUCUUUCAGAACAUUUUAGUCAAGAUCAUAAGAAAUUUAAAUGUUACGUUGUUUUUCAAGGCAGACUUCCAGGAGUUUAUCAUACUUGGAUAGAAGUUUCAGAUUGUAUAAAAAAUUUUCCAAAUCCUUUAUAUAAAGGUUUUUAUUCAAUUUCAGAAGUAUUAGAAGAAUGCAGAAAGUAUUUAGGAAUUAAUUAUUUUAUAGCCCCUUCAUUAAAAAAUGUUUUAGACAAGCCAUUAGAUUUUUCUUCAAAUUUUUGUCAAUAUUGUGAAUGUAUGACUAGAAAUUUUAAAAUUUUAAAUGAAUCAAAUCAGAUUUUACAACAAGAAAAAUUAGCUUUACAAAAGAAGAUUUCUGAUCUAGAACAAGAAAUUAUUAAAAUAAAAAUUCUAAAUUCAGAUUUUCAGUCAGUUUCUGGUACUAUAGAGCCCAAAAAAUCUAUAGCUAGUCCAACUCAAACGGUAGCUGGUAAAGACUUAACAAAUCCGUUUAUGGUUUUGGACUUACCAAAAGCCCAACAGACUCAACAAGCUAAAAAUUCUGUUACAGAAAAUAAAAUUACUGAAGAACAGACUCAGCAGACUGAAAAUUCUGCUACUAGAUUAAUUAGUCCAAUAGACUUAAAAUAGAAAAGCCCAGUUAAUCUUAUUUCAGAAUCACUUCAAUCAGCACAAGAUCCAGAGCAAAUUACUCAAUCAAAUAUAAAAAGAUUGAAAGAAAUGUUUGAUAAAAUAGAAGAAUUACAGCAACAAGUUAAACAAAAGAUUUCAAAGAAAAAGAAGUUGUAGAUAAAGAAGAAAAACAAAGGCAAAAAGAAAAUUGAUCUUAAAGAAGAUUUUGAGGAUAAUACAGAAGAGGACAAUAAUUCAGAAGGUUAUACUGAUGGAGGAGCAUCUUUAGACAGCAUUGGCCGACACAAUUAUGAGACAAGAUAAGGAUUCAAGAAAGAUCUACAAAGAAAGACUUAGCUGGAAAAGAGACACUUGGCAAACCUUCAAAAAAGUUCAGAAAUUAUUGUACAAAAGACAGAUUUUUACUGUUUUCUUUUUGAAAAUAUUGUAACGAAUCUUACUGUUUUAUAAAGUAAGAUUUGACAAUUAAACUUUUUACUAUUUUCUUUUUGACGUUUUUGAAAAAGCAAAGAUUCUUUGCUUUUGAAAAACGCGUUUUCUUUCUUUUUCUUCCCUAUAUAAGAAGUUAUUCUUUCAUUUGUAAAUACACAGAAUAGAGAAAAAAUAAUACAAGCUCUUUGUUUCUUGGAAACAUGUUCUAAUUUUCUCUCUUCCCCGAAAGGGAAAUUCUUAAUUAUUUCUUAGAUAUGAUAAUAUCCCAAAAAAAAAAAAAUAUUUAUGUUUUUAAAACUACUGAUGGAUCAUUCCAGUAGGUAUGUUUUAUUGUUCUAAGAUAUGGUACUAAUAAUUAAUAUUAGUCCCAGAUCUUUAAAGAACAAAUGUUAUUUUUGAGAUUUUUGUUUCUGUAAAUCUUUUGUAAAGUUUUAUGUUUCAUGCUGAGUAUAUGAUAAGAGCAUGUCUGAAUUCCAAGUUAAAGUUUAAACUGUUUUUAAAAUAAGCCCUGAGUGACCCUUCAAAGCGUAAAGACCUAGUAGAAAGGCUAGAGAAACGCACAGAAAGGGGAAAAGGAUCACUGUUUUAAGAAUUUUUGUUAAGGGAGUGCCAGUGGUGUCUUUGCAAAAAUGGAGUUAGGCCCAAGUUCAUAUAUCUCAAAUGGCAUACUUUUUCAAUUCUACAAAAAAAAAAAAAAAUAGGGAUAUUAUUUUAUCAAAAGAUAUUCCAAUUAAGAAGAGUAGUGAGUAGGAUUUUUAUAAUUUGAUUUAUAACUGCCUUAUAACCUGCCUACAAUCCUUGAAAUAUUAACCUUUUUUAGGGACCCCCCCCCCCUUUGGUUUUAAGAUAUCUUGGUAACUAUAAAAAUUCCCAUCCAUUUGUUGGGCUCUAUAGGUUCCUUUGACUUUAUUAUAUAUUUUUCUGGUAUGAUUCUUUUAUUAAUUACACAAUGACUACAUCCUGAAUCUAUUAAACCUAAACAAAUUAUUUCAAAAUUUUCUAUUCUAACAUAGCAUUUUACUUUAAUACUUUUUAUUUUCUGAAUUACAAAAAACUUGAACUAAUUCUGGUUCAGGAGUAAUUUCUGGAUUUUUUUCCUUUUUUAUUUAAUUCCAAUAGUUCUAAUUUUUGUAAAAUAUAUCUUUGCAUAUCUUUUAAGUUUUCUAUUCUUUUUCUUAAAAUUUUUAUUUCUGAUAAUUCUAUUUGAAUUGAAUCAAUCUGAUUAUCCUCUUCAAAUUCUACUAAGUCUUUUUGUAUUAAACAUUUUUUACAUGCUUCUAAAAAACAAUCUUUACAUUUAACUCUUAAUUUUUUACUAGGAUACCAUUUACAUAAAAAACAUGGUAUACUAUCUGAACCUGUUUCUUUUAUCCAUUUAUGUUUACAUUCUAAUUCUAUAUCCAUAAAUUCUAAUUCUUCAUCUGAAUCUGAUAAAUUUUUAAUAUUAGAAAAUUCUUGUAUAAAAUUUUCAUAAUCUGAUUGUUCUUCUAAAUUACAAUUGUUAUUAUAAUCUUCUAUAGAUAUAAUACUAUAUACUGACUCUUUAUCUGAAAUAUAUUCAUCUAUUUCUAACAAAUCUUCAUUAGUACAUUCUACUAAAAUACUUCUUAUAACAAUUUAGUUUAUUAGGAUAAUUUCUUUCUGGUUUAAAUUUUCUACCAUGUCUAUUUUCAUCUAAAUAAGGUUUUCUUCUAUUGGAUUUUCUAAGAUAAUAUCUUUUCUUAAAAGGUUGACUAAUUUUCCUUUUAUCAUAUUUUCUUUUGGUCUUUUCUCUAAAAUUAUUACCAUAAGUUUGAGGUGUAAAAAUAUCUUUACAAAAUUUAUAAUCUGUCUUUUUUAGUUGAUUCUGAAUUUGUAAUUCAACACAUUUUUCUUCUAAACAUUGCAUUAUGAAUUGUGUUCUUAUUCCUAUACUCCAUAAAUAAUCUGGUCUUUCUAUAACAUUCUUAUUUUCAUUCCAUCUUUUUGUUAUUUCUAAUCCUAAGGGGCCUGGUAAUUUAUGGAAUAAUUUUUUACCUAAUUCUUGAUUAAAAGUAUUACCUGAUAUAGAAACAAGAUAAUGAUAUUCAUUUAAAAAUUGUUUAACUUCUUUUCCUUUAGUCCAUCUAUUUAGACUAAGUUGUUCAAGAUUUCUGAUAGCUUUAUGUUGAAUUAAUAAAUGUCCUGUAUUUGGAUCUGCUCCUAUUAAUAAUUCAUGUAUCUUACUAACAAAGUUAUAAGGAUUAUUUCCUAAUGCUACUAAUGUUUCAAAUUCUGUUUGUUUAUCUUUCUUAAAAGCUUCCCAUGUAGUUUUAGCACUUUCUCCUAAAAAUGUUUCUAAAUAUCUAUACAUUUCUAAUGAUUCCAUAUUAUCUGCUAGUUUAAUAUAAUGUCCUAAUAUUGUAUUCUUCCAUACUUCUAUUAUAUUAUUCCAAGUUUGAGGAUCAUGUGCUGUAAUAUUUAAUAUUUGUGGUUUAUGUGAUGUCUGAAAUUAUAUUUUAGGUUCUAAAGGUCUAACUUUUCCUUUAGCUAUAUAAUUUCUUUUUUUAUCAUUAUAAUCUGUAUAAGGUAUUCUAGGAGGAUGACCACCUAGAUAUUGAUAUUGUUCUGGUUCUGUUUUAAUUUGCAUAAUUUCAUCUGUUAAUUCUUUGUAAUUACUAUUCUGUGAAAUUUCUGUUUUAUUAUCAAUUUCCUCUAUAUUAAUUCCUACUCUUAUAUUCUUACAAUUAUCAUAAUAUAAGUAUUCUUUUUCUCCUAUUUGUUUAUUUAAAAACAAGUGAUCUUCUAAUUUUAAGAGUUCUGUAGGAGAUAAUUUCAUUUCUAAUUCUUUAGGAUAAAAAAUUCUAUCUUCUAUUUCUAUUUCUACUGCAUUAAGAAAUUCUUCAGUUUUUUGUUGUUCUUCAUUAUUAUUAUUGUUAUAUUCUGUUUCAGAAUCAUUAUUUCUAUUUAUAUGACUAUAAUUUCCAAACCUUAAACUAAUUCUUCCAUGUAAAUCUUUAUAUGUUAUAGCUUCUUGAGGGGCUAAAAUUGGUUCUUGAGUUUCCAAAAAUUUUUCUAAAUCCCAUUCUAAUCCUACUAAAAGUUUUGAAUCAUAAGUUUUAGGCUUAAUCAUUUUUAUUCCUUUACUACUCAUUAAAUUUAUAACUUUAUCUAUAUAUAAUUUGUAUUUUGUUUGAGAAUUAUUACUACAUCUUCCUAAAAAUCCUAUACUUAUUAAUAAAUUUUCUCCUGAAAUAACAUCUUCAUAUCCAUGUGUUUGGAUUCCUAUAUUAAUUUUUUCUGAAAAGUCUUUUAUAGUUAAUAAAAAAUCUGGAUUACAAUAUAUAAUUCCAUUAUUAUCAUUCAUAUCUACCUCUGUACUAGCUAUCAUACUUUUUUCUAUAUUUUGAAUUCUUUCAUCAUAAAUAGUUAAUAAAACUUUAUUUUCUAAAUUUUUUUUCAUUAAUCCUUUAAUCCCUAUUACUAUUAAUCCUAGAUGCAUAAAUCUAAAAUUCUUUUUUCUUAAUUCUUUUUUAGAUUCUUCUGAUAUUAAUGAUAAUUGUCUUACUUGACCAUCUAAAUAUUGAAUUGAUACUUCUCUAGUAUGUCUAAAAAAUUGGGUUCUUGAUUCAAAAAUUCCCCUAUUAUAUAAAUUUUCUGGACUAAGUAAUUGUAGACCAUGAGUUUGAAAUCUAUUAUAAUCUUAUUCAGGAUCUAUAAGUUCUUCUAUAUUCUGAUUAUACUGAGGCUGUCUAUGUAAAAUUCUUUCUAUUAUAUUUGUACUUAUAUUAUAAGUACUAUGUCUACCUCUAUCAUAUGGUUCUGAAGAUGAUCCUACUUCUUUAAUAGUUCUUGAUCUGUCAGGAAAAUUAUUCAUAUUUUAUAAAAUGUUGUAGAUAAUUUUCUAGUUAUUUUUUCUUUACCUGUAUUUUUUAAACUUAAUCUAUCUAGCUUAUUUAUUAUAUUUUCUACUUCUUGGGUUGGUUUAUUUUCUAUAUUAUUUAAUUUUUUAUUUAUAUUUUCUAUUGCUUCUAUAGUCUUAAGAUCUGGAAAUUUUUCUUUAUCUUCUACUCUAGAAAUUUUAUUUUAAAUAGUUAAAUUUUGUUCUUUAAUAAAAUCUAGGUUUUCACGAAUUUUACUAAUUUCUUUCUCAAUAUUAAAGAUUCUUUUUUCUAAAGCACUUAAUUCUCCGAUUAAUUUAUUAACCUCUUUUAUUAAAAGAUCCAGUUUAAAAUUUUAAUCUGAAUAAUAAAAAGAAUCUAAUGAGAAAUUUGUAUGAUCUGAUAAAUAAUUAUUAUCUAUAUUAUCUAAUUCAGUCCUUACUUCUAAAUCUGAUAUAAAUAUUUGAUCAAAACUGUUUAUAAAAUAUUCUUCUCUAAAUUCUGAAAUUAAGGAUCUAUAUAAAAUCUGUUCUUUUAAUUCUGGGUGUAAAUCUUUAGUUACUUGUAAGAUAGCAAAUAAAUAGUCUAUAGGUUUAUGUUUUUCAAGAGAAAUUAAUUCUAUACCGUAUUCAAAAAUCUCUUCAAUUUCUUUGUAAAAUGUAAAACUAUAGGAUAUUUUUUCUAGAUCUACAAGUAAAAUUCUAAAAAUCAUAAAACAAGUAUGAAUUUUAUAAAGAUUAAAAAAAAUAUACCUUUUCUAAAGUCUGGAGAAAUAUACUGAAAUCACCAGCACAGGAACAAACUUAGGCUCUGAUACCAAAAGGGGGGGUCCCUGAAAAAGGUUAAUAUUUCAAGGAUUGUAGGCAGGUUAUAAGGCAGUUAUAAAUCAAAUUAUAAAAAUCCUACUCAGUACUCUUUUUAAUUGGAAUAUUUUUUUAUAAAAUAAUAUCCUUUUUUUUUUUUUUUUUUUUUAGAAUUGAAAAAGUAUGCCAUCUGAGAUAUAUGAACUUGGGCCUAACUCCAUUUUUGCAAGGACACCACUGGCACUCCCUUAACAAAAAUUCUCAAAACAGUGAUCCUUUUCCUCUUUCUGUGCGUUUCUCUAGCCUUUCUACUAGGCCUUUACGCUUUGAAGGGUCACUCAGGGCUUAUUUUAAAAACAGUUUAAACUUUAACUUGGAGUUAAGACAUGCUCUUAUCAUAUACUCAGUAUGAAACAUAAAACUUUACAAAAUAUUUACAAAAACAAAAAUCUCAAAAAUAACAUUUGUUCUUUAAAGAUCUGGGACUAAUAUUAAUUAUUAGUACCAUAUCUUAGAACAAUAAAACAUAUCUACUGGAAUGAUCCAUCAGUAGUUUAAAAAACAUAAAUAUUUUUUUUUUUUUUAGGAUAUUAUCAUAUCUAAGAAACAAUUAAGAAUUUUCCUUUCGGGGAAGAGAGAAAAUUAGAACAUGUUUCCAAGAAACAAAGAGCUUGUAUUAUUUUUUCUCUAUUCUGUGUGUUUACAAAUGAAAGAAUAACUUCUUAUAUAGGGAAGAAAAAGAAAGAAAACGCGUUUUUCAAAAGCAAAGAAUCUUUGCUUUUUCAAAAACGUCAAAAAGAAAAUAGUAAAAAGUUUAAUUGUCAAAUCUUACUUUAUAAAACAGUAAGAUUCGUUACAAUAUUUUCAAAAAGAAAACAGUAAAAAUCUGUCUUUUGUACAAUAAUUUCUGAACUUUUUUGAAGGUUUGCCAAGUGUCUCUUUUUCAGCUAAGUCUUUCUUUGUAGAUCUUUCUUGAAUCCUUGUCUUGUCUCAUAAUUGUGUCGGCCAAUGCUGUCUAAAGAUGCUCCUCCAUCAGUAUAACCUUCUGAAUUAUUGUCCUCUUCUGUAUUAUCCUCAAAAUCUUCUUUAAGAUCAAUUUUCUUUUUGCCUUUGUUUUUCUUCUUUAUCUGCAACUUCUUUUUCUUUGAAAUCUUUUGUUUAACUUGUUGCUGUAAUUCUUCUAUUUUAUCAAACAUUUCUUUCAAUCUUUUUAUAUCUGAUUGAGUAAUUUGCUCUGGAUCUUGUGCUGAUUGAAGUGAUUCUGAAAUAAGAUUAACUGGGCUUUUCUGUUUUAGUCUAUUGGACUAAUUAAUCUAGUAGCAGAAUUUUCAGUCUGCUGAGUCUGUUUUUCAGUAAUUUUAUUUUCUGUAACAGGAUUUUCAGCCUGUUGAGUCUGAUUAAAUUGAAAAGUAGGAGAAUCAACAGCCUCCUGAGUCUGUUGGGCUUUUGGUAAAUCCAAAACCAUAAACGGAUUUGUUAAGUCUUUACCAGCUACCGUUUGAGCUGGACUAGCUAUAGAUUUUUUGGGCUCUAUAGUACCAGAAACUGACUGAAAAUCUGAAUUUAGAAUUUUUAUUUUAAUAAUUUCUUAUUCUAGAUCAGAAAUCUUCUUUUGUAAAGCUAAUUUUUCUUAUUGUAAAAUCUGAUUUGAUUCGUAUAAAAUUUUAAAAUUUCUAAUCAUACGUUCACAAUGUUGACAAAAAUUUGAAGAAAAAUCUAAUGGCUGGUCUGAAACAUUUUUUAAUGAAGGGGCUAUAAAAUAAUUAAUUCCUAAAUGUUUUCUGCAUUCUUCUAAUGCUUCUGAAACUGAAUAAAAACCUUUAUAUAAAGGAUUUGGAAAAAAUUUUAUACAAUCUGAAACUUCUAUCCAAGUAUGAUAAACUCCUGGAAGUCUGCCUUGAAAAACAACGUAACAUUUAAAUUUCUUAUGAUCUUGACUAAAAUGUUCUGAAAGAGCAUUUAAACAUGCUAAAAAGUAUUUUUGAUCUUUAGGAUUUUUAUUAUAGGAAAUCCAUAAAUUAUCUAAAAUACAUUUUUCUGAUUUUGAAACUGAAAUAUGAUAUAAUGUUUUAAAGCUAAUAUUACUAUUUGAAAAACAAAAUAAUUCUACAUUACCAAAUCUUAACUUGUCAUGAGUCUGUGCUAAAUUAGUUUGUGAACUUGAACUACCAAUUGUUGGCAAUCCUGGCAUGGGGCCUCUUGGUAAAGUCUGCAAAUUCUAAAAGAAAUAAUCAAUCAUAUUCUUUAUUUUUAAUUAUUCUACUUAAAAUAUCUGCUAUCUGAUUAUCACUUCCUUUAAUAUGUUCAAAAUUAAUUACUAAUCCAGUAUUAGUAAUUCUAUCUAUAAAAUUUAACCAUCUUCUUCUAUUACUUCUUUUAUUUUCUAAUUUCAUUUUAUUAACAAAACUUACUAUUACUUCGCAAUCUGUUCUUAAAGUAAUUUCUUUUUUAAAAAUAAUAAAUAAUUCAAAAGAAUCUAAUGCAUAAUUAACUGCAAGUAAUUCUAAAUCUAUGCUACUUAUAUUACAUUUUUCUUUAUAGUUUCCACUAUUAUAUCUUAUAAUUUUUUCACUAUCCUUAUUUGCAUAUUUAUUGGGUUUUGAAAUUAAAAUUGCUCCCCAUCCUGUUAUACUUCCAUCUGUUUCUAUAAUUAAAUAAUCUGUUUCUAAUGACAUAGAUAAUUUAGGUAAGUCUUUUAAUUUCUCUUUUAUUUUUUGGACUAAUUUAAUAUCUUCUAUAUUAAAAUAUCUUUGACCUUUUGGUGAAGUUUUCCCAUAUAAGGGUCCUGAAAUUUUUCCUAAAUCUUUAAUAAAGGGUCUAGCAUAAUUAACUAAUCCUAAAAAUUUUUGUAACUGCUUAAGAUCUUCAAGUUUAUCUAGAAAAUCUAAAACUUUUUGAGCUAUGUGAGGUUGUAGCUCUAUUUUUCCUUUUCCUAUAUUUACUCCUAAAAAUUCUAUAUAUUCUUUAAAUAAAAAUAUUUUCUUUUUAUUUAUAAUUAAACCAUGUCUAAUAAAUUCUGAAAAGAGAAUCUGUAAAUGACCUCUAUGUUCUCUCCUAUUUUUACUAAAUACUAAAAUAUCAUCUAUAUAAACUAUAAUAAAUUUAUUAUGCUUACUAAAAAUACUAUCCAUUUUUCUUUGAAAAAUACUAGGGGCAUUUUUUAAUUCAAAUGGCAUAACUAACCAUUCAAAAUGUCCUUCUGGGCUAGUGAAGGUUGUCCAUUCUAUUGAAUCUGGGUGCAUUUUUACUUGCCAAAAAUCAGAUUUUAAAUCAAACUUACUAAAAAUAUUACAAUCUUGUAUCUUAUUUAUUAAGACUGUUUUAUCUGGAAUAUUAUAGGCAUCAUCUAUUGUAUUAUCAUUUAAUCUUUUAUAAUUAAUUACCAUUCUACUUUUCCCUCUAAUAAUUUCUGAAUGUUUUCUAACUAUAAAAGCUGCUGAUCUAUGUGGACUUUCUGAUUUUUUAAUUACUCCUAAUUUUAAUAAAUCUUUUAUAUGCAUCUUAAAAUCUUCCUGAUCUUGGUUUGUAGCUUCAAUAUUUUUUGUUUUUAUUAUAUAUUCUGGAUUUUUUAUUUUUAUUUCACAAAAAACUUUAUCUUUUUCCCAAUAUUUUAAUACAUUUUAUCCUAAAAUUUCUAAUUUUUCUAGUUUACUAAUCAUAUUUUCUAUAUCUUGUUAUGUUACUAACAAAUUAUAUAUUUUUUCAAUUUCUACAAAAUCUAAACAUGUUUCUUCUUCUUCCUUAAAGUUUUCAUAGUAUUCUUCUAAAAAGUUUUCUAAUUCUUCUUUUUCUAUUAAUUGACAUUCUCUUUCUUUACUACACUCACAUUCUUUUUCUUUUUCUUUUUCUUUAAUCCCACCACGCUUCUCAGCAUACUCUGAUUGAAUAAUCUUAGUAUAAGUAGGUGCACAAAUUGUAAAUUUUUGUAAUUGCAUAUAAUGUUUACUGAUUAUUAUACUACCAUUAUCUUUUAAUAAGAAACUUAAUGAAAUAAAUAUAGAGACAUGUUUGAAUUAAAUGAUAAUUAUGAUAAACCUAUUAACCAUGGAGGAACAAAAUUAAAUUUAAAGUGUAAACAAGAUACUAAAAAAGCCUUAUUAAUUUGGGUAGAUUUAAUGAUAUUAUUCUUUUUAUAUAAUAAAGAUGACACAUGAGAAAGUACUGAAUGAAUAAUAGAUUUCUUAAUAGCAUCCUUUGAAGGAGAUGUUAGAAAUUGGUGGGAAGGAAUAAGUAAUGAUGCAAAAAUAUUAAUAAAAAGAAAUGUACAAACAGAAAUAAUAAAAUCAGAUAGAUAAGGUAUAGAAAAGUUAGUAUAAUAUAUUUCAGAUGAAUUUUUAGGAGAAAAUUGGAUAAGAAAUGCUGACAGAGAAUCAAUAAAGGAAAAAGAUAAUGCUAGAAUUAAAUUAAUAAAUUUAACAAUAUGUGAUAUGUGUAAAAUUAAAGAAUAUACUUGUGAAUUUAGAAGUUAUUAUUAUGUUCAAUUUUAUAGUAAUAAAAAUCAAGAAGUAUACCAAAAUAUGUAAUAUAAUAAGUUACCAGGUUCAUAGGAAAUAUAUUUUAAAAUAGAAUUUGAAAAUAUGCCAGAGAUAAUAUUGGAAUACCUAGAACUUUAGGUUCAAGAAUAAAAAUUUUAUUUGAAAGACUUGCAUAUAUAUGUCAACAAAGACAAUUAUUGAAAAAAUCAGAAAAAUUAACUAGAAUAUGUUGUGAAGAUAUAGAAAACCAUAUACAAUGGGAUGUAAUCCUAAAAGAAGAGUUAAAAAAAGAAAAUAUAAAAAUAAAAAGUUUAAAAAAUUUAGAAAUUUUAAUAAAAAAUAUAUAAAACCUAGAAGAAUAUAUUAUAAAAGAAAAAAUAUCUCAUAUGGUCAACAGAAAAAUAAAAGUUAUAAGAAAAAUAAAAAUCAAUGUAAAUGUUGAAAUUGCGGGGAAAUAGUUCAUAUAAGCCCUAGCUGUGAUAAAAAAAAGUUAAAAUAUUACAAAAAGAAUAUUUGGAAAUAAAAGAUGAAUUAAGUGAAAUAUCAAAUAUUGGACAAUAUUAUAAUCAAGAAGUAUAUAUAAGUGAAAUAUAGGAUAAUGAAUCCGAAUUUAAAUAAGGAAAUAGAGGAAAUAGAAAAUAAUUUUCAGAAUUCAGUUUUUCCAAUUUUAGGUUUUAAAAUAAAUUCAAAACUUUGGUUUUGAUUGUUCCCUUUGGAUGUCUAGUAUAAUCAAUUUAAUUGAUUAAAAUCAACAUGUUGUCAAAGUAACCCCUAUUGUGUAGAUUGAUUUAAUUGAAAAUACAUAGAUGUUUUGUACGGAGUUAUUUAUGCGAAUUGUGCUCGGCCCAAAGGAAGACACAAUUUGGCCAAAUAACAACGUGCUUGUGAUGAUAAAUGUGUGACAAUUAUAAAGACAUUUCAUGUGAAUAAUAGUCGGUCCAAAGAAAGGUUAUUAUUUGACAGAAUUAAUUGUCAAUGUUUGAUCAUUGCACCAAGAGUACCAAUUACAGUUAAUUUCUCUGUCCAAAGACUAGGAAUUAAUGUCGUACUAGGUAUCUUGAGAUGGAUCCCAAAAUCUGGAUUAUUUGUGCGUGUCUUAAUUUUCUUAUUUGACAUGCUUGCUUAUUUUGUUCUCUAUACAGUUUCUGUUGUUAAUGCUGCGAAUGUCUCUGCUCAAGUCAGCAACAUUCCAAUGCUGAGCGGGACGAACUUUAAAGUUUGGAAAGAAGUCGUGGAAAUUGUCCUCAGCUGUAUGGAUUUGGAUCUUGCACUUCGUUCAGAUCGACCCGCUUCUACUGCGGAAAACCCCAAUGAGGGUAAAAUUGAAAAGUGGGAUCGCUCUGACCGGAUGUGCUUGAUGAUCAUGAAACGUUCCAUUCCGGAAGCGUUUCGGGGCUCUAUUACUGAGAGCGGGAGUACCAAGAAGUUUCUUGAAGAAAUUGAGCAAUAUUUUGCCAAAAAAUGAAAAAUCGGAGGCGAGUAACCUUUUGGCUAAACUCGUUUCCAUGAAGAAUAAGGGCAAAGGGAACAUAAGGGAGUACAUCAUGGAGAUGUCUCAUCUCGCAUCAAAACUCAAGUCGCUUAAGUUGGAGCUGUCUGAUGACUUGCUCGUGCACUUGAUUUUGAUCUCUCUUCCUACGCACUUUGGGCAAUUCAAAGUAAGUUAUAACACUCAGAAGGACAAAUGGUCCCUAAAUGAGCUUAUAUCUCACUGUGUGUAAGAAGAAGAGAGGCAACAGCGUGAUAAGAUUGAGAGUGCUCACUUGGCCUCAACCUCUCAGAACAAGAAAAAGAAGAGAGCUAAGGAUGCUGUGGAAGGAACUUCUCAGCAGAAGAAGCAAAAGAAGCAGGAUAAGGAGUUUACCUACUACUUCUGCAAGAAGUCGGGACACAUGAAGAAGGAGUGUCCCAAGUACGCUGCCUGGCGUGUAAAGAAAGGUAUGCUUCUAACUUUAGUUUGUUCUAAAGUUAAUUUAGCUUUUGUACCUAAGGAUACUUGGUCGGUAGAUUCUGGUGCUACUACUCAUAUAAGUAUGUCCAUGCAGGAUUGCCCGUGGAGCCGAUCGCCAAAUGAUGCUGAAAGAUUUAUCUUUGUGGGCGAUGGCAAUAAAGUUGCGGUAGAGGCUAUAGGGACUUUCAGAUUACAAUUAAAAACUGGGUUUUAUUUGGAUUUGUUUGAGACAUUUGUUGCACCGUCCUUUAGACGGAAUUUAAUUUCUAUUUCUAGUUUGGACAAAUCAGGAUUUUCUUGUUCAUUUGGAAAUAAUAAAGUUAGUCUCUAUCAAAAUUCAAAUUUUGUUGGUUCCGGUUAUAUGAUUGAUAAUCUGUAUAUACUUGAUAUUGUUAGUUCCUAUAACGAAAUACUGCAAACAAGUUCAUGUGGUACAAAGCGAAAAUUAAGUGAGAAUUCUGCCACUUUAUGGCACAAGCGUUUAGGUCAUAUCUCUAAGCAGAGAAUUCAGAGGCUUGUGUCGGAUGAAAUUCUUGAACCCCUAGAUUUAACAAACUUCCAAGUUUGUGUUGAGUGCAUCAAGGGGAAAAGAACAAACAUGAGAAAAUUAGGUGCCGAGAGAGCUACAGACGUCUUAGAACUGAUACAUACGGAUAUCUGUGGCCCAUUCCCUACGGCUUCUUGGAAUGGACAACAAUACUUCAUUACGUUCAUAGACGAUUACUCUAGAUUCGGUUACCUAUAUUUAAUACAUGAGAAGUCUCAAUCCCUGGAUGUUUUCAAAUCUUUUAAAGCUGAAGUUGAACUUCAACUUGGAAAGAAAAUAAAGGCUAUCAAAUCUGACCGUGGUGGUGAAUAUUACGGAAAAUAUGAUGGAUUAGGAGAACAACGUCCAGGACCCUUCGCUAUUUUCCUCAAUGAGUGUGGAAUUGUUCCGCAAUACACCAUGCUGGGCAAACCUAGUAUAAAUGGUGUUGCAGAACGACGAAACCGAACUCUUAAGGAUAUGGUAAGGAGUAUGAUAAGUCAUUCCUCCUUACCAGAGUCACUUUUGGGAGAAGUUUUGAAGACCGCAGUGUACAUUCUUAACAGGGUACCAAGCAAGGCAGUUGCCAAAACCCCUUAUGAGCUGUGGACAGGCAAGAAGCCUAGCAUUAAGCACUUGCACAUUUGGGGUUGUCCAGUUGAGGCACGGCCUUAUAGGCCACAUGAAAGAAAACUGGACUCAAGGAUGGUUAGCUGCUAUUUCGUUGGUUACGCUGAACGCUCUCGGGGCUAUAAGUUUUACUAUCCCACAUCAAGAUCCUUCUUUGAAACAGGAAAUGUGAGAUUCCUUGAGGAUAUUGAGUUUGGAGAGGAAGGAAACAUAAGGAACGUUGUCUUUGAAGAAGAAUCUGUUAUUGACAGCAAUCAGGUCUCUGUACCUAUUGUUGUUCAAGACACAGUUCUGGCAAUAGAUGACAAUGUUCAGGCUCCUAUUCCUGACAUUGUUUCAGACCAAGACAACAAUGAGAUUCUUCCUCAAGCACCACCUAUAGAACAAACUCAACAACCUCAAGAAGUGCGAUUAAGGAGAUCCACUAGGGAGAGAAGAAAUGCGAUUUCAGAUGAUUAUAUCGUCUUUCUUCAAGAACAUGAGGAUGGCGUUAGUUUAACGGAGGAUGACCCGAUCAACUUCCAUCAGGCCAUGCGCAGUUCUAACUCUCAGAAGUUGAUUGAUGCCAUGAAAGAUGAGAUAAAGUCUAUGAAAGAUAAUGACGUUUGGGAUCUCGUCGAGUUGCCUAAAGGUAUGAAGCCCAUUGGUUGUAAGUGGAUAUUUAAAACUAAGAGGGAUUCAAGAGGCAGUGUCGAGAGAUAUAAAGCUCGUCUAGUCGCUAAAGGCUUUACUCAAAAGGAAGGCAUAGACUACAAAGAGACUUUCUCUCCGGUAUCUUCGAAAGACUCUUUUAGAAUAAUAAUGGCACUAGUGGCUCAUUUUGAUCUAGAGCUACAUCAGACGGAUGUCAAGACUGCGUUUCUCAAUGGAGACAUUGAUGAGACGAUUUACAUGGUACAACCAGAAAGCUUUGUAUCAGGAGAUCCAAAGUCUAUGGUUUGUAAGUUGAAGAAAUCCAUCUACGGUCUCAAACGAGCUUCCCGUCAAUGGUAUCACAAGUUCCAUCAAAUCAUUACCUCGUACGGUUUUGAGGCAAAUGUUGUUGAUAACUGUGUAUAUCAUAAGUUCAGUGGGAGUAAAUAUAUCUUCUUGGUAUUAUAUGUUGAUGAUAUUCUACUCUCUAGCAGCGAUAUGGGCUUAUUGCAUGAAAUCAAGAAAUUUCUGACAAAGAAAUUCGAGAUGAAAGAUCUUGGGGAUGCCUCUUUUGUAUUAGGUAUUCAGAUACUGAGAGAUCGUUCUCGAGGUAUCCUUGGACUUUCACAAAAGAGCUAUAUUGAUAAGGUUUUGAGUAGAUUUGGCAUGAAAGAUAGUAGACCAGGAGACACGCCCAUCUCCAAAGGAGAUAAGUUUAGUCUCAAACAGUGCCUCAAUAAUGAUCUUGAAAGAGAAGAGAUGCAGAAGAUUCCCUAUGCAUCAGUGGUAGGGAGUCUAGUGUACGCUCUAAUUUGUACUCGUCUCGACAUAGCAUUUAUAGUGGGAGUUUUGGGUAGAUACUUGAGUGAUCCUGGCAUGCAACAUUGGAAAGCAGCCAAACGCGUGAUGCGUUAUUUGAGAAGAACAAAAGACUACAUGCUCACUUACCGGAGAUCAGAUAGUUUAGAGAUCAUCGGGUUCUCUGACUCCGAUUUUGUGGGAUGCCAAGAUAGCAGACGCUCCACAUCAGGCUACGUCUUUAUGUUGGCUGGAGGAGCUAUCUCAUGGAAGUCUGCUAAACAGACUCUCAUAGCUUCUUCAACCGUGGCUGCGGAGUUCAUUGCUUGUUAUGAGGCAUCCAACCAUGGAUAUGGCUACGAAACUUUGUCACUGGAUUACGAGUGGUAGAUGGCAUUGACAGGCCAUUAAAGAUUUAUUGUGACAAUAACUCGACGGUGCUUUACUCCAAAAACAAUAGGAGUUCGACAAAGUCGAAAUUCAUUGAUAUCAAGUUUCUAGUUGUUAAGGAGAGAGUUCAAGAUAAACAGAUUUCCAUAGAACAUAUAGGAACAAAUUCCAUGCUAGCGGACCCACUAACCAAGGGCUUAACGCCGAAGGUCUUUCAUGAGCACACUGCUCACAUGGGCGUUAUUUCCAAGGAUAUUCUAGUCUAGUGGGAGUCAAUUUUACGUUCUAUAUGUUUGCUUUAGACAUUAAAUUAUUUAACCUUCUGCAGAAUAAAGUUGAUGGUCUAUGAUUCUAUUUCUGAGUUUGCUUGUGUUUUCAUUGUGCAAUGUUUGCAUUGCAUUAAGGACUUUGGAAUGAUCUCACUAAAGACUAAAGAAGGACCAGUUGGAAAUAGGCAUGUUUGAGAUCACAUUUCAUGUAAAUUUUCAUGCUACUCAUCCAUAUUUGAUCUAUGUCAUUAAGUGUAUUAAUAUGUUGAUGAUCGUGGUUUAAUCACUAAUGUAUUGUGAUGAAAGUUGCGGUGGUUCCAUUAUUAGUAUAUGAGAUGGACAAGAUUGUUUAAGGAGCAGUCUAAUGAUAAAUAGCAUACAAAUGCAAUAUAAUUGUUUAAGGAAUAAUAUGUAGCCAAGUGGGAGAUUAUUAGAAAAACACGAUUUUCCUAAAUUAAUAUUGGCAACAUAUUAAUACAAUUAUAUUAGCUAUUUAAUAUAAUGGGCAAAAAUCAAGUGGUCUAUUUUUUGUAUACCCAUAGACUACUCAAAUUAAUAUGGACUAAGUGAGUAGAUACCGGCUAAUAUUACUCUAAUUAAGGGAUAAUGGGAACCUUAAUUAAGUAGUAUAUAAAGGUUAUUUUGGUUAUGGUCCCCAAUAUACCAAAUCAUACACUCUUUUCCCUUCUCCCCAUCAAGAAGAGAAAUCACGGUCCCAUUGAGGAAUAAGGAGAUUUGGUUGAGGAAGAUCACAAAACCACCCUCUUCAUUUGCAUUCAUCGGUAUGUAGUCGAUUGUCGCAGUAAUUCCACAACAGUAGGCAAUCGUUUACAAUGGAUACAGGUAUAUUAUCUGAAUCUGUGAAUCCUAGUAAUUUAGCAUGAUGUUGAUCCUAGGAUUUAAUUUAUAUUUGGAUCUAAUUUGAUUUUCUAUCAUCAUGAAUUAUGGGGAGGAACGCCUUUCAUUAUAUAUUUAUGAACUUAUCUCUUCAGCGCCAUUGUCAGUAAUAUUAAUAUAUCCAUGUAAGAAAUGAGAACUUAGUCUUCGGAUUUUUUUAUUUAUUAUUAUUUUUUUUUCCGUGAAUUGAUUGUAAUGUGAAGAGGUGGACAAGUCUAUUGUUUGUUUAUGUGUCAUUAUUAUGUACUUACGAAACUAUUUCUUCAGCGUCAUCACCAUCUAUAUGUCUAUGUGAGAAGUGAGAACUUAGUGUGUGCUUCUUUUUUUUUCUUUUUCUUUUUUUUUUUUUUUGUAUAUUUUUCGUUGAAAUAAUUGUAAUAUGAAGUGGUGGACCAGUCUAUUGUUAGUUUAUGCGUCAGCAUUAUGUAUUUAUGAACUUAUUUCUUCAGCGUCGAAGGUAGAUAACUAAGUGAGGAGUGAGAAUAUAUAUAUAUAGGGUUUGGAGUCAGAAUAAACUUAUCAAAAAACUGUUUGACACACUGGAAAAAGGUCAAUAGCAACAACCAUCCAGGUGCUGACACACAACACCUGGAUUCAAACCCUGGAUUUAAAACCUGGCAGACCAACUUUACUGUAUAUAUAUAUGUAUAUAUAUAUAUAUAUUCCAUGCAUUUCGGGGACCAAAUGUUUUUACAUUUUAGUGGCAAUAUAACCACCAUUUAUUUAUAUAUAUAACUUUUCUAGAUAAAUUUUUUUUUUUUUUAUUUUUCAAUUCGUUUGAGUGCAAGACACAUGCAGAAUUCAUGGCAAUUAGACUCAUUGGGUUAAAAUUAUAUGACUUUUUAAGCACAAGAUGGGUAUAUAGCUAAGGAAGUUAUUGCCAAGAAAUUAUGACGAUCACUUGUGCAUCUUCGUUAGGAGGACAAUAUCAUUUGUGACAUCAAGAAGCAUCCACAAUGUUUCGAUCGCGAGCAUAAGUUCUCUAAUGUCACCAAACGAAUUUUUAUUCCUUUUGCAUAUUUUUUUAUAAGUUAAAAUGUCAUUUUAUUUUUUUAUUUUACAAGUAUAAAUUUUUAAUUUCUAUUACUUUAUUUAUUGACAAAAUUUUUAAUCGUUUUUUAGCAUUCUUUUUGUUUCAUUUAGCUUUUAAUUACUACUUUUAUCUACACCUGAAAGAAAGAGCAAGUGGAAUUAAAGAAAAUUAGUCAUUAAUCUUAAGUUUGUUAAACCUAAAAUUUUAUCUUCACAUGUGGAUAUGGAUACAUUGUGUUCAUACACAGUUUCUACUGAGCUCUAUCCAUAGCAAAUUUUGUGUAGUUACGAUUAUUGUCAGUGUAGCAACGGAGAAGAUGAAUACGAAGGGUAGGAAUUGGUUGUGUUUUUUUAUUUUUACCUUUUUACUGGUAUCUAUAUUUACAAGGUGAAAUGAAAUAUCAGGAGUUUUUAUUUUUUUAGAAAAAAAAGAGUUUGAUUAGUACUUUAUGUUUCCGUCAAUGUUGAAAAAAGGUAAUUAAAUAAAGGCUAAAAUAAAAUUUGCUUGCUACAGAAUAAAUUCUUUAAAACAAAGAGCAUCUUACCAUAUGUUUGAAGUAUCUUUUAAAUAAUUUCGCCUUCGUUCACUAUCAAGUAUAUGUUUUCCUAACGCAUGUGUUUUGUUUUUAAAGAGUCUUUUGGAGAGAAUAAUAAUAUUAUCUAAUAAAAGUAAUACUAUAACACAAGUUUAGUAACAUUACGUGAUAAAUUUAAUUAAAUAUAGAAUUAUAUGGCUCAUUCAAUAGUACAUCACAUUUAAUGUCACUUAACCCAUAUUUAGUGGGAAUUAGAAUCGUUUUUUAGUAGAUUUUAAUAAAAAAUUAAAUGCGUGGUUGAAAGGUUAUGAGUAUCAUAAAAUGUGUGGUUAAAAUAAAUUGUUGACUUUGACUUAAUAUAAAAUCUAGAUUUUAAUUUCUACCAAACAAGGUUUAGUGUUAUUUAAAAUGUUGUUGUUUAUAUCAAUAACACUGAAAAAGUGUUAUUCUUUUGGAAAAAAACUUAUAACUUAUAUUAUAUCUUUUUCCGUCUAGCCGUUAGACGAGAAAAAGCACUUAUUAUAACCGAUUCGAUCCAAUUCGAUUCCUAAUUCCUAACCUAGAAUCGUGGGUAUCUGAGUGAAACCGAUUUUCAUAAAAUACAAUGUAUAGUUGGAUAAACAAAUAUAAAACUUAAAAAUCCCUAUUUUGGUGAUAAUUAGUUUAAAAAUCUAGAUUCUAAUCAUAAGAAAUCAAAACUUGCUCCUAUUUUUUUUCAUCUUUCCUUACAUUAGAUUGUUGCAUUUACCUACGACUUUUCCCAUGCAAUUUGCAAUACUUGAAUGAUCAAUUUUUAUUUUUUUUUUGGUCCAAAGUUAUUACAUGUUAAUCUUUAUAAUUUGAACUUUUUUAUGGGGUAAGUUGAUAAAUAAAAGCGCUCAUCUUCUGCAAUUCAACUUUUUACUUUUUUGCAUUGUUUACAAACUUAAGAGACUUUUAAUUUUUUAAAAUACAUGGGGAUUGAACUUAUUCAUUGAUUGGGUUGUGAUAUACCUUUUUUGUUAUCUUGAGUUCAUGAUUCUCUUUUUAAAUAAAAUUUUAUUCUUUUUUUAUUAUUCAAAUAGAGCGAGUUCAAUAUGUAGAUUGUAAUUUCUUGAUGCUAUAUAGUGAUGUACCUAAUUAGUAUUUAUUAUGUCGGUUCGUUUUAAGAAUAGAAGAAUUUAUACAUUAUUCAUAAUUAAAUUAUAUACUUUACUAUGCCACGUUUAUGAAUCAAAUAAGAUUUAUUAAGAAAAAACAAUUUAUUCUAAAACUAUAAUUUGAUCUUUGAUGUUUGAAUUUUCUCCUAUUCUUGUUGUUUUUAGUUUCCACUAUUUUGCUUCUUGAAAAUUUCGUAGCUGAAUUUUCUCUCUUACACAAACAUUUUUGAGUAGUAGCGUGUCGGAUAUAUGAACUGAAAUGGCAUAUACAAAUGUUUGUUAAGCCACCGUUUGGUGAAAAUUAAAAUUUAAAUUUAAAUUUGAGUCAAAGUCAAUAAUUAAUUUUAACCAUAUUUUCAUAAGACUCACAAUUUUUCAACCAUCCCCCUCAUCAACUUUUAUUAAAAUCUAUUAAAAAUUUAAUUUUAAUUCUUACCAAAGAGGGCAAAAUAUAUUUAAAAAAUUUUAUGGGUAGAACCAAAAUUGAAUCGGAUUUGAGUUUGGUUCCACUAUUUUACAAGGAUCCAAGUGAUUCAAUUUACGUUGAAAUGCUUGGACCAACCCACUUGACCCUUAGACAUAUGUUGUAAUAUCGUCUACAUAUUUUAAUUUGACUUCUGUAUAUAUGUUUUAGGUUUCGGAUGUAAGAUAAUAAUUUUAUUAUUAUAACUUGAAUGAGAAUGUCAUAUCAUAAAAUGCUUUUAAACUCUAGUAAUUUGAAAUAUUGAAAUUAUAAUCCUAAUUUAUGUGACGUUAAUAUAACAUUAAAUGAUGAGUGAAAAGAUUAUUCUACUGGUAUAUCAAAUAUUACAUCAAGGAUUAUAUAAUGUAUAAGUGACAUUACGUAAGUAGUUGGAGGAAAUUUGAAAAUGGAUAAUUUAAUUUUACAUUUUAUUUAAUCUAUCGCUUAACACUGUAUCAUAUUUGAAAACUCAGCUACAGGGGCGGGACGACACUGUAUCAUAUUUGAAAACUCAGCUACAGGGCGGGACGGUGGGGCCCAAAAAAGUUGGGGUUCAACAGUAACAACCAAUCAGCUACCGCCGGCAGAAACCACGCACCAGCUGACGUCGAUCCGAUGAUGAUUUAGAAUGUAGGUAUUUAUAUAUAAAAACAAAAGCACCCAUCAAUCCAGAAUUUGCAAUCGCUCGUUCUCCGAUAAUGGUAACCUUUUCUAACUUAGUUUUAGCUUUAAUUCUGUGUUAAUGGAAUUUGACAUUUUGUAAUUAUAUUUAGGCAAGUGGAACUGGUGAGGUUUCAAAGAAGCUGAAGCUCUAUUCCUAUUGGCGGAGCUCUUGUUCUUGCCGCGUUCGAAUCGCUCUCAAAUUAAAAGGUCUCGAGUUUUUCUUCAUUAAUUUGAAUUCUCGAUUUGUUUUUGCUUAAUUUAUUGAAAUUAUUUUUAUUAAUUUUUUUUGAUGAUUAAUGAAACAAAUACAACAUGAAAUUGAAUAAACAGGGCUAGAUUAUGAGUAUAUUGCAAUUAACUUGCUCAAAGGGGACCAGAAAUCUCCAGGUUUGACGCUUUCUCAUCUCCACACCCCCCCCCCCCCCCCCCUUUUUUUUCUUCCUUUUCAAUUAUGUAUAAAUGUUGACAUAACCAUGUUAUCUGUAUUACUAAGUUAUAUGUAGCUUCGGUUGAUUAUCAUCAUAUGAUUUUAUUUUUUUAACACUUUUCUACUUGUCGGGAUUGUAGAGUUUUUGAAGCUUAAUCCACUUGGAUAUGUGCCAGUACUUGUGGAUGGUGACUUUGUAGUUGCAGACUCUUUUGCUAUAUUACUGGUGAAUUUCUUCAUUGAUUAUGGCAGUAUAGAAUUGUUUAAUGGUGAAUUCGGUAUAAUUCAACCUUACUAUGAAAAGAUAUUGUUGUUGACUGGAUACCACAAUUGUGCAGUAUCUAGAAGAGAAGUAUCCUCAGCAUCCAUUGUUGCCAAAAGAUCUUCAGAAAAGGGCUCUCAAUUACCAGGUGAACAAUUGCUGGUUAAAUAUCUCUGUUUGGGAAUUAUGUUAUUAGGUUUAAAGAAGUACACUUGUUCUAUCAAUAACUAUUUUUGUUUUCCAAUGAACUCUUUGGAUCGAUAUAUCUUGCCCCUUCAGGCAUUACCUAGCAAAGGUUAAUUAAUGUAAGAUAAAAGUGGUUCAACAUGAUUCAACUUAUGACUCUUCCCCAGUUAUCUUAGGAGACAAUUUCGUCUCUUCUGCAUCAUGUCUAGGAACUAAUGUGCUAAUGAUUCACUAACCUUUUUCUAAAAUAUUAGGAUCGGAUUAUUUUGUUAAUUCAAAAAAUGUUCAUAGAAACAUUUAUUUUCUCUUUUGAUUGAAAUUAUAAAAACUAGAAGAAGAUGUGAGGAUUAAUCUACUUGGUUAUACAAUUUUAAAGAGCACACAUAGCAUAAACUUGUGGUGAACUUUCUAACUAUAUGCACAUAUUAAAUAUUACUGUGCUGGUUUAGAGGAAUGGGGGGAGCGAAUAGGGAAAAUCUUGACAUGUACUACUAAAAGUACGCAAACAAUAACUAAUUUUGGUAGUUCUAAUAGAUUUGUUCUUUAUGUGGUGGAGAAUGUGCUUGAGGACAUUGAAUAAACUAAUGACCUGAAAAAUUUACUGCCAAUUUCAUCUUCUAAAUAAAUCGUAUGCAAUUAUUUACCUUUUCUUCUUAGGUUUUUGAAUCUAACUUUGAUUCUUCAUGUUUUACUAAUUGCAGGCUGCAAAUUUGAUUUCUGCAAACAUACAACCUCUCCGGAAUUUACUUGUCCUCGUGAGCAUUAAAUUGCCCUUUUGAUGUAAAUUUCAUGUUCCUCACUGUAAAAUUUCCAAAUUACAUGUGAGCAUGAUAUGUUUUAAUCAUCAUAUAUUGCAUAUUUAAUUGAUUUUUUAAUGUGCAGGGCUAUAUUCAAGAAAAACUUGGUCCUGACGAGAAAAUUCCUUGGGGUCAAACUCAUAUACGAAAAGGCUUUGCUGGUAAGCAUUGACCUUGGUACCCUUUCUUUGAAGAAAGAAAAGAAAUGUCAGGAGGAGAAACCAUUGCUAGUAGAAGUGCUAUGCAAUUUCAUUUAGACGUACAGAUAAUUUGAUUACAGACUCAUAACAGUAACAAUUUGAUUGCAUUGUUGAAUAAUAUCAAGCUUAAGUAAUUUCUGACACCAGGGUUCCUCGUCUACUUCGUGCAUUGAUCUUAUUUAAUGUUUGGAUUUAAAUUCAUAUCAUGUACUGCAGGAGAAGCACAAUUGACUUUGAGCAAUAGAUUUCCUUAGCCCGUUAGUCAAAAUAUGUUAAAAAAUAUGCUAUUUUCUAUGGCAUGCCUUGCAUAAAAUCUUAAUUCAUUGGGUUUUCCAACUCUCAUAUUCUAUACAUUUGCUUCACCCUGAUUUGGUCCUCUCUCUGUACACCGUUAUGAUUAUAGCCUACCUGCCGGUGGCUGCUGAAUUUGUGUUAUUCUAGAAUAAACAUGAUCUGCUGUGACAAAAUAAAUUAAUUCUUAAUAAUGUAAAUAGUUAAUUUAUAUAUAAUCCAGUUACUCUUUCAAUUUUUAGCAUCCAAAGACUUGUUACUAUGGAGACACCAGUUGUUCUAUGCCACCAUUAUAGCUUUAGAUUCACCACUAAUUAAAAAUUAAGUCAAAUUGAGUGAAUUAUCAGAUGGACUCAAUUCUCUCUUUUCAGCAGUUAUUAGAUAUCAAACAAACCUCCCUAGAAGGUUAUUUUAAUGUAACCAAUUUCUCUCUUUUACAAUCAAUUUCUCUGCAACACCGCUUAUGUUAACUAAUUGUCCAUCCUUUCCAAGUGUGAUUUAUAUGUUAUGUAUGGCUGUGCCUAAGGGCAUUUUAGUUGAAGUAGAUCUAUUUGAUCAAUCAAAACCACGAUUACUCCUUUGACUCUGCAUUCCUUAAUUGUUGAAAUUUUGUGCUAUUUUUGAAAUGUUUUGUUUAUACAUGGAAUUGAUGCUCAAGUUGAUUAGCACAUGUAACUAGGACAAGUCAUACUUGUAGAGUUGACUGACAACACGUUCUGCCAGCAUGACAAAGUAAUUAUUCUUCACUCAAGUUUGGAAGAAGUGGUUGUUUUGUGAGUGUUAUUAGGCCUUCCAUCAUCCGUGUGAGUAGUGGGAAAAAAAAAAAAGAGAAGCGGUUUGCUUAGCUGACAAGGAAAUAAGUGUUUUGAGUUGAGAAGUCACUGGUAAAUCUAAUAUCAAUUCAGUUGUAAUUUGUGCUUGUGCCACCUACUCUAGAAAUAGGUUACUAUGCUAAAUAUGGUUAUCAUCUGAAUAUUCUAGUAACUAUUUGAUUUGUGCUGCUACA